rnacentral:lncRNA from 1 species
UGAGGAUGAAGGCGAUCCAGAUGUCUACUUUGUACCACCGGUGGAGGAAUAUGAACCAUCCUUGCCCUCUUCACAAUCACCAACUGACAGCUGUCAUGAACAACCCGAUUCACCAACAUAUGAACCAAUGGCUCCGGGAGAAUUGCCGGAAUGUGAUGUCUACAAAGAUAUAUGUUCUGAUCCCCAGAAGGUAGACUGGGCGGUUCCACCUAUGGUAAUUUACUACUACUACUGAUUCUAAAUUGUUUAUGCAAAAUAUAUGUGUGUGUUUUGACUCAAUUCUCUCAAACAGGAAUUCUUGGCUGAAGUUGGACUUGGUUGCUACAAUCUGCAAAAGGUAAAUUGAUCUCUCUUUUUCUUGCUUUGUUUUGUCUUUGCUUAUUUUGAGAUCUUGUCUUGUAGGGGACAAACUUUCAAUUUUCGGAUGAUCCACAUGACUUCCAGUAUCUGUAUCAUACCGGCUUUGAGGAUCUUACCGACUUUGAGGAUCAUACCGAUGCUAAAGCAUCACAUUCUUUGAUAAUGCGCAAUUCCACUUGCGAGUUUGAAACAAGGGCUGCCGUUCAAAAAGAUGAAGAAGAAGACUGUUCCUUGAGUUUGAUUACAACGCUCCACAGGCCGCAAACUCCAGGUAAAUUGUUAAUCAAACCAAUUGGGCACAAGCAAACCUCUCUCCAUCUAUUUGUUUUGUUUGUGUGUCUAAUGUUUUCCAUCUCUACUUGUGUGUGUACCUCAGAGGUGGAAGGUGACACACUUGCCCCGGAUGAUUUCUUCAAAGGUCCUAUGCCAGAUCGUUUGCCUCACGAUAGGUGGAGGCUCGGUAAUAUGCUUAAUAAUCCGAAAUUCUACUUGUUGAGGAAAUCAGAGAUGGAAGAACACAAGGAGUUGUUUCUUCUGUACGCGGAAAUCACAUUGUUCUCCCACUGGGAAUCUAUCAGGCUAAUGGAGUGGGCAAAGCCAUUGGAGCUAUUAUAUGUAAUUGUGCAAACCCGGGAGCCGAAUCUGAAGUUGAAGGCCAAGGCGGAGAAUGCAAACUUCUACAUUACCUUCUCAACCUGUCACGGUUUUCCCUUCCAUGCUGUCAUAAGGAGAACAACGACUGGAAAACCAAACCAGAUGUCGCUUGAAUUCAAGAUGUUGAUGUGUUAAGAAGUACCCUAUUGUCCCAUUAUGUAUUUAUCAUGUAAACUAUCGAUCUGAGAGUUGUUUCUCCAGAUGGUGCUGUGGCUACAUUUUAUUUUCUCAAUGUUUCGCUUGUUGUGUGCUACUCGUGUAAUGAGUUAAUGACUUCUUUGUUGCUGUAACUUUGAUUUGAAUGUCAAGAGUGUUCGUCCUUUGUCUGUCCAUUGGCUCUAAUCUUUAUAAAACCAUUUUACCAAUUCAAAUGCACAUUAAGUGAUGUAAUUGGAUGUUAAUAUUAUUAACGCUCACCUGUUUUUGUUUUUGGGGAAAGGAAAAACAGAAGCUUGAUCAAUUAACUCUAGAAGAAAGCAAGUAUAAGCUGUUUGCUCUCACAAGUUUGUUUCAGAACAACCACAAAAAGGGUAGGAUCGGAUUGUAUGGGUUUUCUUUUGCAAAGAGGGCAAACACCUAAAAACCCCACAAAGGAAAAUAAGAAAUUAAACAAGAAUUUUGAAAGUCUUAAACGAUUAGUCUCCCUACAUCAGUCUGUUCCACCAGUUUGGAAUCAAGCAUUCGAAGUGACAUCCUCUUGUCUCUUGCGUUUUUCUUCAUCUUCCUCGGAGAGAAGGGUUGGGUACACAAAUUCGAACAGAGACCGAAAUGGGUUGUCAACAAACUCCCCAUACUUACCGGUCGUAAGGCACAUCAUCAUCAUCUCUAUUGACACCUUCAUGUAUCCAGCAACACCAAAUUUCAAACCGUGGCUUGAUUUCGCCCAAACAAAUUUCUCACCAGUCUUCUUAUCUUUUCCCACACCCGUAAUAUUUAUGGCAUGAGUAGUACUAUAUCUUGAAAUGGUAGAAGUACGGCCCCGGUAAAUAUUCUGCAAAAUCAACAAAGGCAUAAAUAAAAAAGAAAGUUACACAAAUAUGUUUGUUCUCUCUGCAAAUUAAAAGAAUUUACCUCUCCAAUCAUUGAGUACUCUGGCUCGAAGAUAGGUAUGGUAGCUGCAACAGGAUGCCUAUCCAAUGCUUUAAUUGUUUCUUCAAUGCUCGACAAUUUCACCACAUCUUUGAUGUACGCUAGGUUCAAGGAACUCCUUCGCUCAAAACCUUUUUUGCAAAAAGCAUUAUCAAAGGGACGUGCUGCUUCCGUUUCGAUUCCGUUUUCUUGGACAUACUUCAACCCCUCAAGAACAGGACAAGCGUAACAAGAAUGGCCGGGUUUGUUCUUUUUAGAACUAGAACGUGAACGUGAAUUUGCUCUUGUGAAAUCAACAAGAUAUUGAGCAGAAUAUUUUACUUUCUGGGUGUCGCGUCUCAAGAUGUGUCUCACAGCACUAACAAGGUCAACGAUAACGAUUGCCCAGCAUACCUCUACCAGAAAAAAGACAAGAUGGUUAACUUGUAUUUAUUUCCAUUUAGAACUCGGUUGUAAGAUUAAUAAUUGAGCAUGUUUACCGUGGUCUAGUUGGUUUAUGAUAUCGCCCAUCUUUGAGGACCACCUGUUCCCAAAUUCAUCCACAGUUACAUGAUCCUAAGAUAAGAACAAUAAAGUUGUUGUUUGAAGAUUGAUUAGAAAAUGAAUAUGCUCAAUAUUCUGCAGUGCAAAGCUAGGAUAGAAAGAAAGGAAAAGCGAAAGUAAGCGAGUAUGGGUACAAGCACACGUUAGAAGGCUUUAACUAUGAAUUCUAUAAGUGUUGGUAGCCAGCCCAAACAAAAAAAAGCUAUUAGGUUAGGUGAGAGGUUUGGAAAGAUCGUACCUUAUUUUCUUUCCAGUAAGAAAAUAGAACUCUGUCCCAGCACUUGAUGAUGGUGAUAUCAGAAUGAGGAUUAGUAUUCAUGAGGCGUCUCAGUUGCAAGACUGGAAUAUAUUUGAGAAUCCCAUCAACAAUGCGCAGCUCUGCAUCUGUCAGGCUCCCCAUUGCUUUUUCCUCAUCACUCCCCAGAAAUCUUUUUAAAAGAGGAAAAUGAAUUUGCUUGGAAAUGGUAAACACCAGCUAUAGAUACAAAAAUAACAGGAUGAAAAGAUUAAUGUUUGUUGCUCUCGAGUCAAUAAGAUGUAUGAAAACAAUAGAAAAUGUGAAAUCUCCAGUCAAAAGGACUAUGCAAACAUUGAAAACUUACCGAGGUAGAUAGAGCAUCUUGGUAGGGGCUGAAUGCGUCUGAUGAAGUUUGAAUAUCUUUACAAAGCAUAUCAAAUUUUUUCUUAUGAUCCUCUAAAGAGGCAGACACACGAUUCAUAGUUUUGUUAACCUGAUAGAAGUAGAGACAACACUAGAGUAAGCUACGAAAAGAAACCAGGAAUAGACGGCUAUGAAACAAGCAUUAGCUACUUACACCAUUUAGAUGUGCUUUCAACCUCUGAUCAAGAUUUUUGCCUCUAAUGAGUUCAUCCUACCAAAAUAAAACAUACAAAAUUAAUUUCCACUAUUGCUAAGAAAACAGUAAGCGAACACUCACAUUGUCCUCCAAAUCGCUAUAGACCGCGGAAGUUUCCUUGCUAAUAGUCUCCAACAAGACCAUCAGUUCCUUCUCGGAGCUAGAAAGUCCCGCCAAACUCUCGCCUAUGUUAAUUGUCGACCUCUCUAACUCGUUCUGCAUCAAACAAGUAUUUACUUGAAAUCCCAAAAAAGGGUCAAACCCACACAAACAAACAAACCACAAGGACGUACCGAACAUAAAUCAUAGCGUAGAAUCUCCGGGUUAGACCGUGAGAGUUUCCAUAAUUGCUCUUCGAGAGCAAUACGAAGAGUACGAAAUCCUCGAGUCGAAGAUUGAAUAUAUUCAAAAUCUCCAGACAGAUUGUGUAGACUUUUUGUUGCAGUUAUAAGACUACGUUCAAUCUUCGAGAGUCUAUCCUGAAAUCCCCUCACCCCCAUCACCAACAGAUCCUGAUCCUCCAUUCUCUCUCUCUCUCUUGAAGCUUGAUUUAUCCGAGAGAAGCUCACCAAAUACCUUAGAAGGAGAAACUAGAAAAAAGAGAACCGAUCUUUGAGGAAUCGAUCUUUGAUUGUCAAAGAAGAAAAAGAAUUUGAUUGUCAAAAAAGAAAAAGAAAUCGGAUCUCUCUCUCUUCUUGAAACUUGAUUUAUCCGAGAGAAGCUUCACGAAAUACCCUAGAAGGAGAAACUAGAAAAAAGAGAACCGAUCUUUGAGGAAUCGAUCUUUGAUUGUCGAAAAAGAAAAAGAAAUCGGAUCUCUCUCUCUGUUCUAAGCUUGAUUUAUCCGAGAGAAGCUUCACGAAAUACCCAGAAACUAGAAAAAGGAGAACCGAUCUUUGAGGAAUCGAUCUUUGAUUGUCAAAAAAGAAAAAGAAAAAGAAAAAGGAGAACCGAUCCAAAAUAAUCGGUUCGGUUUUGGUUCUAACCUAAACACCCAUUCAAUUUUGAGUUGAGGAUCCACGAAAAAGGCUUUGAGGAAUCAAACCCACCACUAUUCCCCCAAAACAUGAUACUUUACCAACUAACCUAUCAACAGUUUCGAUAGAAAAUCGCUUUUAAAAUAUUUAACUAUUAUCUUAAAAGUUAAAAAACGAAAGUAAAAAAAUAAAUUCAUAUAUAUCAAAAUUUUCAAAUCAAAUGAUAAAUAUAACUAAAUAAUAUAGUACAUCAAUUAUUUUUAUAAAUCAUAAAAUCAAAAUUUGGUAAACAUACACACAAAACAACAUAAUAUAUUUUUGAAAAUAUUUCAGCUAACAAAAAAAAACGUGCAUAAAAAAAAUUAAAGUUAAAUAUUAAUAAAUUUAUAAUUUAUAAAAUGUAAAUUAUUAACUUGAAAAAAAAAAAUUAGAUCAAGAUAUUUUUUAACUUGAUAAAAAGAAAAUAUUAAAAAUAGUCAAUAUAUAUCUAUUAAUCAAUUAUAUAGUGAGACGAGUUAAGAUUAUUGUUUUUAUACUUACGGAAUUUUACAGUUUCUGCCAUCAAAAUAUUUAAACAAUUACAAAACGGGUUUUAAAUUAAUUAAUAUAUAUGUUUUGAUGAUUAAAACAUUAAAAGUAACUAAUACAAAACAAGUUAAAUAAAUUGAUUAUCAUAUUUAACUUUCAAAAAGAUGUAAUUAUAAUUAUAUAAAAAUAUAAAUUAAUAUGAUUAGCUUUUUCUCUUAUAAAUCACAAGUCAUCUAACCAAUAAAAAUCUGCCACAUAUUUAUUAUUUCACAAUUUAAUAGAAGUAAAAGAAUUGGUUUUGAAAAAUAAAACGUAAAAUUGAAAAACACAAAAGGUUAGACACGUUCUCAACUAAUUCAAACUCAACUUUUCUCCUCAAAUCCACAAUGUUGGCAUGGAACAUUUCUUUUCCGGGGUAAAUUGCUAGUUCAUCUCAUAUAUAUUUUCACUCUAUUCCUACUCCUACUAUGGCCUCUAUUUAUCAAGCCUCGCUCACCUCUAUUUAAAGGGGUCGAGAGAUGAAAUAUAUCAAAGUUUUUCUUAUUCUAUCUCUCAUGUUACUUUUUAAAAUCUCUGUUUUACCUCACCAGCAUGUUCUUCAUGUCUUCACCAUCGUGAGUGAUCCCACCAUCGUGACUAACCUAAAUUUUCCUUUUUUUGGAUUAUAUACCAAACCUAACUUUUAUUGAAAACUUGAUUUUCAAGCUUAUAUCUCUCUAUAUUGAACUAAGAAUAGCAUUUUAAAAAAUUUAGUCCUACAUAGCUGUCGGUUUUGCCUAUUUAUUAUCAUGAUUAAUAGGUUUUUUCUUCUUAGUUGAAAGUCAUAAUAACAAAUAUCUGCAAAAAAAAUCCCUGUAUCAUGGAGUUUUCUUGUUAAAAUGGUUUUCUGAAUAUUAUCUUUAUUAGUUUCAUUUAGAUCAUAUAUUCACUGUCAAAUCAGAUAGGACGAUGAGGAGAGAUACAAAGAGAGGCAACAUUAUUGUACAACUUUUUGUUUGCACUCUUUGCUUUUAUCUUCUUCCUUCCAUUUAUCCUAAGCAGUUGCGGAUACAUCAUGACAACAAUUACAAAACGUUUUUUUUUGGUAAACAAAACCGAAACCCAAACUAAUCUCGGCCAAGUUCACAUGAUGUUGUCUUGCUCCACAUACCUGAAAUCUACAAUCUUUUCGUUGCUCUGUACACACUUCUCCUUGAGCAGUAGUAUACUCCUCACGAAAAGGCAGGAGUAAAAUGUUAUCUACAAAGUGAUCAAGAACACGCGUCUGAUUGGUUUUUUCAGCAGAUAGAGAUCAGUGGAAUGUUCUUGUCUUCUUCCAUAGGCUUCACUAAUGGUGAAGAGAGCCUUUGGACUAAAACAUCUAAAGCUUCCUUCAUCCAACAAUCUCUACAAGCUUCUCUUGCUUCAUCAAGUUUCAUCCAUAUCCUUUGACGAAGAUGUUGUUCAGGCCAAAGCUCAAACUCUUCUUUCACGGCCCUGACGGCAACAUUAAUCCUUCAUAGAAUGUUCCUCUGCUUUUGCUAAAAGUUAGUACAUUUGGGAACACACCCUUUUGUGAUGAAAUAACAAGAACUUCAAAUUCAUUGCUAAUUGUGCCAUCACUCGAAAUCUUGAGUCUGUAUGGAAUACACCUGCAAAUUUAAAACUUUAGAAAAUCAGACAAAAGUCAACUCGAAUGGUGAAACACAUAUAGAUGACACAUACCCAACGACUUUACGCCGUCCCUUGAUGUAUCUUUGGGAUUGACAACCCGUACGAGAGACCAAACACAUCAUGCUACUAGAAAAACAGAGUUCUUGAAGAAUUGGUAGUUAGAUCAUUAAUAUAUUUUUUAAACAAUUGGUGACACCAAAUGACCAUCGGUGAAUUUUAUUAGCAAAAGAGAAAAGUAUAAAAGUAGUUUUUUAAAAAAAUCGAGGUAAUUAAUUGGAGAGGGAGUUCAUUGCAUGUUAUUUCUCUGUCGUUUCGUGGUUUACUUAAUAACGACAGAUAGGUUAAUUAAUUAUGUCACUAUAAUAUUUUUAAUAACAGAAACAAAUAAAAGUCGCUGUCCAUACACGGCACGUUACUGUUUACACUGAAGACGUGUGGUUUUUAUUGUAAUCGCUUUUUUUUUCAUGCGACUGCGUUUGAGUCUGUCUUCAUAGCCCAUGGAAAAGAGAUACACUACCGUCGGUAGUCUACAGACAUGAAACAAUGGUUUCACUAAGUCACGAAAAGUGAAAUAUGUCUGUUUUUCUUAAACUUCAUUUAAUGACAAAUACUACUAUUUCCAAACCGAACGGAUAUUAAACAAUCAAUGAUGAAUCUUGAAAAAAUGGAUAGGUUACAUAGUUGUAGGCCUGGGCAAAAUAUUCGAUAGAUCCGCUUCGACUCGGUAUUCGAUUUGAUUCGAUUCGAAAAAUCCGGAUAUCCGUAAAAUUUUGGGACAAAGCAAAUAGGGAAAUAUAAUAUUCGUAAAAACCGGAGCAAAUAUCAAAUAUUGCUUUUUUUAAAAGUCGGAUAUCCGCUUCGAUCCGUAUUUUUAGAUAUAUAUAUUAGAAUAUAUAAUUAUGUAUAUAUAUGCAUAUUAUAUGUAUUUGUAUAUUUUGGGCUUGUAUUUGUAAUCUCAGUUUCUAACCAAUGUUUUUAUGUUAAGAUGUUAGUUUGAUCAUUUUUCUUUCAUGUUAUGUUUUGAUCAUUGGCAUCUUAAAUUAUCGGGUUUUGGUUUUUGGAAUUUUUUUGAUCGAUGAUAUCAACAAUGGUUACGUUUGUUUUUAAGAACUUAUUUUUAAAAGCGUGAAACUUGAAUAUAUAAUAUUUUGUUAUUUUCUGUAGUUUACAAAAUUUUUAAAAAAUAUUUAAUGUAUCGAAGCGGAUAUCCGCAAAUAUCACAAAAAAAUCCGGAUAUUCGAAUUUUCGGAUAUCCGGAAAUUUCCGAAUCAAAGCAAAUCACAAAAUCAAGUAUUCGGUUAAAACGAAUCGAAUAAUAAAUAUCAUAAAUUUUCUGGAUAUCCGCUUCACCUACAUAAUUGCAUAGAAUAUAGACAUGCACAUUCAUUUGUAUGUCAUUAUACCUAGAUGCAUCAAGGUUCAAUGAAUUUUAGUUAUAUAUACGUAUAUGAUUUGUUAUCAAAUGUGUAUAUUAGGUAAGGCGGGGUUACAAAUUCUCAUUAUUAUUAGUUUUCACUUUUCAGCCACUCUUUUAGAAAAAUUCAUCCAAAACUAUUCACCAGCACACAAGUUUAUACAAGGUUUUGAGUGAUAAAGUUUCUCUCUAAAAUACGACAAAUCAACAUACGAGAUUUUACCAUAUAUAUGCUGAAACGCUAAUUAAUAUGUAUGACAAAUUAAGAGUUUCGAAGGUCAUUCUAAGUAUGAACGUGAACCCUGUCCAAAUCCAUUCUAUGGGGAUAACAAGAUAUUCAUUCAUAUGCCUAGCCAUAUUUGUCCAUGUCAUAUGGGUUCACGUACGAGUCACUGGUGGUAUGUGAUUAUACCUUGAUGGGUUUCUAUUAUGGCUGCACCGCAGCAUCGGUUUCGACUCUUAACUCUACAUGUUUCUGACAAAUAGAUAUGUGAAUUGUUUCUGUCUUAUUAACAUAACCAUAAGGUCUCUAUUUAUACAAGAAGAGUUUAGCUAAUAAAAGAAAAACUAACUAAAAGAUAAUUACACAACUUGGGGAUCAAGUUUAGCCUUAAUACCCCCCCUCAAGUUGGAGCGUACAAAUUUUGAAUGCCCAACUUGCGCAAGAAAGCAUGAAACUCCCGUCGUCCCAAAGCUUUAGUUAGAAUAUCAGCCAGUUGAUCCAAUGUUGGGACGUAGGACGGUUUGAUGGUGCCAGCAAUGAUGCAAUCACGAAUGAAAUGACACUCGACUUCAAUGUAUUUAGUUCUUUCAUGAAAAACAGGAUUAGCACUAAUGUGCAAUGCAGCUUAUCUAUCACACGAAGAGACAUUGGAGCAGUAUGAUCAAUGCCAAUUUCAGACAGCAACGAUUUGAGCCAUAGAAGUUCUUUAGUGACAGCACCCAUUGCACGGUAUUCAGCCUCUGCGGAAGAUAGUGAGACUGUUUUCUGUUUCUUGGAUUUCCAUGAAAUUGGUGAAUCACCAAAUUGAACAAUCCAUCCUGUUAAUGACUUGCGAGAUAAGGGACAGCUGCCGUGAUCGGAGUCACACCAACCUGUUAAGUGGAGUGGAGAAUUGGCUCGGAGAAGAAUCCCUUGUCCAAUCGUUCCUUUCAAAUAACGGACAACUUUGAGAGCCGCAGACCAGUGCUCUUCUCUUGGUUUUUGCAUGAACUGCGACAAGAUAUGAAUGGCAUAAGAAAGAUCUGGUCGGGUCGAUGCCAAGUAAACAAGGCGGCCAACAAGUCGUCUAUAUCGUACUGGAUCUGGUAACACCAUACUCUUAGAGAGAGACAACUUGUGAUUCUGAUCGAUUGGAGAUCCCACAGGCUUGCAGCCUAACAUACCGACGUCGGUGAGAAUAUCUAUUGUGUACUUACGUUGGCAAAGAUAUAUGCAUGUAGAAUGACGAGCAAUCUCCAAACCAAGAAAGUAUUUAGCAAGACCAAGAUCUUUCAUAUGAAAGCAAGAGGAUAAAUAAUCUUUAAAUUCUUGUAUAGCCGAGGAGGAGUUACCGGAGAUAAUGAGAUCAUCGACGUAUACCAAAAUCAAAAGAGAAAUUCCAUCACGAUGAAAGACAAAGAGAGUGUCGUUUCAGGUGAUUGUCUUUAGACAGGUGGGCUGAGUUGAAAUGAAUGGGCCGGUCAAGGCCCAGUCGGAGUCUGCUAAGCAACUUAAGCCCAGGAACAAGAAACGGCAGAUGUGAGAGCGUUUUGGUGCUUUGAUGGUCACUGGUCGUACAGUGUUGUCGGGUAGCACCUGCAAGAACGGCGAAGGCUCAGCUUAUAAAAGGACAGUGUCAUCAAGCUUGGAGGAUAAGCCAUUCAGUCAUUAUUGAGAGAGAAAGUCUAGAGAGAGACUUGUGAGAAACAAGGGUUUGAGGGUUUUACUCUUGAGUGUCUUCUUGUGUGUAACUCUUUGGUGUGGGUUUCUUUCUGUAAAGGGUGAGAGUGGUGUGACAUAGAGAGCUUGUACUGUUCGGUAGAAGAUAAGAGUGCCUUGAGAGCUGGUUGAAGCUCUCCGAGACGUACCUUGACUGAUUUGGUCUUGGGAACUCGUAAAUCUCGUGUCUUGUUUCUUUCUUGCAUAACAAACUACAGCAAACAAACAUAAAGGUUAGAGCUUUAUCACAAGAUCAGAAACACUUGGUGAAAGACUCAACAGUGGUAUCAGAGCUAGGUUCCCAGAAGUUUCUGAAGGUAAAGUUUCAAUCUUUAAAAGCUUUAAGACCUCUAAAGGUGUCUACUGUUAAAAACUCGGAAAGGUCUCACCUUUAAGACUCAUUUCUUCACCGGUGCUAGGGUAGAGGGUCUUGAAGGUUAUUUCUAGGGUUUUACAGAAGGAAAGUAGAGGAAAGGUGUGAGCUUUGGUGAUUUUACCUGAAAAGGUGAUAACUUUGGGUGAGUUUCAGACUAAGGAAGAUGUUGGAACCUACUCAAGGCAAGUUUGAAGUCAGUAAGUUUGAUGGUGAAGGUGACUUUACUCUCUGGAAGCACAAGAUGCGCGGUCAGUUGGAGAUCUUGGGUUUUGGCUCCAUGCUUAAGCCCAAGAAACCUGAAGAAGAGGGAGAAAAGUCAGAUCCACUAUGGGAUGAGAAAGAUCAGAGAGUCAGAAAUCUCUUGGGUCAUGGUUUGACAGAUCCUGUACUGAGAAAGGUGAUGAAAGAGCCUACUGCAUAUGAUAUGUGGACUGCUCUGGAAAAUGAGUAUCAAGCACAAACCUUGCCAAAUCGUUUCUACCUGAAACAACGCUUCUUCAGCUUCAAGAUGGAGGAAGAUCAGAGUCUGGAUAAGAAUCUGGAUAUAUUCAACAAGCUGGUGUUAGAUCUCUCAAGCGUAAAUGCAGAGAUGGGAGAAGAAGACAAGGCUGCUAUACUCAUGAACAGCUUACCUAAGAAGUAUGAUAAUCUGGUUCACACUCUGAAGUACAGCAGCAGCAAACAGACUAUCAGCACUAAAGAAAUCAUCAGAUCAGCUUAUUCUAUUGAACUAGAGCUUAAGCAAAAGGGAGUGACAACUCAGAAAUCUGCUGAUGAAGGUCUAUUUGUGCAGUCAAGAGGAAGAACAGAUAAAAGGAGUCAAACAAAAGGGAAAUCUAGCAGAAGUAAGUCCAAAGUGACAAAGAAGAGAACCUGCUGGAUUUGUGGAAGUGAAGAACACUUAAAGAAGGAUUGUCCAAAGAAAUUUCAACCUAGUAGCAGUCAGAAAGGAGAAGCCAGCCUUGCUCAUGACCCAAAAGCAGAACCACUGAUGUUGACAGCAUCUCAGGUUGGUCCAAGAGAAGGAUGGGUACUGGAUUCAGGCUGCUCUUACCACAUGACAAAGAGGAAAGAUCUAAUGUUUGAUGUGGAAGAGGUAAAGGGGGGAAGAAUAUUGAUGGGGAAUGACACUGCCUGUGAGAUCACUGUAAUUGGAAAAAUCAAAAUUGUUAACUAUGAUGGAAGUGAAGUCAUUUUAUCCAAGGUAAGGUAUUCACCAACUGCUAGGAGAAAUCUCAUAUCUUUGGGACAAUUGGAGACACUUGGAUGCUGGUAUCAGUCAAAGGACUAUAGACUUCGAGUGUUUAAAGGAGAUAGAGAAGUAAUUGUAGGCGACUACAAAGAUACUCUGUACAUCCUUGAUGGGGAAGCUGCACUUGCACAGGUCAAUGUGGCAGUAAGCGUUCCUGAUAUCACUCAGAUAUGGCACAGCAGACUUGGCCAUAUGAGUGACAAGAACCUGAAAAUAAUGGUUCAGAAGAAGUUACUCAAUGAAAGAGACCUGUCAGAAAUGAAACAUUGUGAGUACUGCAUUCUUGGAAAAUCUCACAAGACUCCCUACAAGACAGGAAAACAUACCUCAAAGGAAAUUCUAGAGUAUGUUCAUUCAGAUCUUUGGGGAUCUCCAAAUGUUACUCUUAGUCUGAGUAAGUGUCAAUACUACAUCUCCUUUGUAGAUGACUUCUCAAGAAAGGUGUGGAUUUAUUUCCUGAAGACCAAAGAUGAAGCCUACACGAAAUUUGUUGAGUGGCUGGCAUUAGUUGAAAAUCAGAGUGGUAAAAGACUGAAAGUUCUAAGGACCGACAAUGGCUUGGAAUACUGCAACAAAACCUUUGAUGACUACUGCAAAGAAAGAGGGAUUAUAAGACACAAAACAUGUCCUUAUACUCCCCAGCAAAAUGGCGUGGCAGAAAGGCUGAACAGGACCAUUCUUGAGAAGGUAAGAAGCUUGCUGAGUGAAACUGGUCUAGGUGAAUCAUUUUGGGCUGAAGCUUCAUCUACUAUUGUCUACAUCCUGAAUAGAACUCCAUCUGCUCCUUUGGGAUUUCAAAUACCUGAACAAGUCUAUGCAGGAAGAGAACCUGAUUACAGCCACAUGAAAAGAUUUGGGUGCUUAGCAUACUAUCAUGUUAAGCAGGGUAAGUUAAAACCAAGAGCUAAGAGGGGAGUGUUUAUGGGAUAUCCACAAGGAGUAAAAGGAUACAGAAUUUGGAGUAUUGAAGACAAGAAGUGCAUAGUAAGUCGAGAUGUGACGUUCAGAGAAGAUAUUUUGUACAAGGACAUAGGAAAGAUGUCAGAUACAGAGAAAGAAGUAUCAAAGAUGGAAAGGAAGAAAGUAACCUUUGAGUUACCUGGUAACACUGCAGAUGGAGCUACAUUGGACAGUCCAGGAGAAACCUCUCAUCAAAAUCAUAGCCCAUCAGUGGAGACUGAAGAUGGAGCUGAGAAUGAGCCUGAAACGGUUGAUGAAGGGGCAAUUUCUGAUGAUGACUCUCCACAUGAGUUGGAUAACUACCUGCUAGCAAGGGACAGAAGUCGAAGGUCAAACAUCAAACCGCCUAGCAGGUAUGACCAUGGAAAUAUGGCUGAGUAUGCUCUAACAAUGUCACAUGUCAUUGAUCUGGAAGAGCCCCAAAACUUUCAAGAAGCAAUGAACUGCAGAGAUGGAGAUAAAUGGAAGUCAGCAGCAGGUGAUGAGAUGGAGUCAUUGAACAAGAAUCAUACCUGGGAUCUGGUAGAAAGACCAAAACACAGAAAGGUCAUUGGAUGCAAGUGGAUAUUCAAGAUAAAGCAUGGUAUACCAGAUGUUGAAAAUCCAAGAUUCAAGGCUAGACUGGUUGCAAAGGGUUUUUCUCAAAUAUAAGGGAUUGACUAUCAUGAGGUGUUUGCACCAGUGGUGAAACACAUUACCAUAAGACUGAUGCUAUCUAUGGUGGUCUAUCAAGACCUAGAGCUAGAACAGUUGGAUGUUAAGACAGCUUUUCUACAUGGGAAUCUAGAAGAAGAAAUCUACAUGGAACAACCAGAGGGUUUUGGCAAAGGAGACCAGGUAUGCUUGCUGAAAAAAUCUCUAUAUGGUCUGAAACAGGCACCAAGACAAUGGAACCUGAGAUUCAACCAGUUCAUGAAAUCUCAGAAAUACACCAGGAGCAAAUUUGAUCCCUGUGUGUAUUUCAAAUGUCUAAGUGAAGGAAACUACGUCUACUUACUGUUAUAUGUAGAUGAUAUGUUGGUUGCUGCCAAGGAAAUGGAGGAGAUGGUAAGGUUAAAGAAAGUUUUGAGUGAGGAGUUUGAGAUGAAAGACAUGGGUAAGGCAAGGAGAAUUUUGGGAAUUGACAUCACCAGGGACAGAACUAAAGGCAUUCUACAGCUAUCUCAACAAGAGUAUCUGGAAAAGGUGUUAAGGAACUUUAACAUGCUAGAUAGCAGACCAGUGCAGACUCCAAUGGGAUCUCACUUCAAACUAUACAGCACGAGACCAGAUGACAAAGCUGAAUGUGAAGCUGAAAUGCAAGACAUACCGUAUGCGAGUGCUGUUGGGAGCUUGAUGUACUCCAUGGUUGGGACACGACCAGACAUCGCAUACGCAGUAGGCCUGAUAAGUCGAUUCAUGAGUUGUCCGGGAAAAGAACAUUGGUCUGCAGUGAAAUGGGUACUGAGAUACAUCAGAAAUUCAGCUGAUCUCAAGCUUACUUUCACAAAGUCAAAAGAAUUCAAGGUAAGAGGCUAUUGUGACAGUGAUCACGCAGCGGAUCUAGACAGGAGAAGAUCAAUUACCGGAUAUGUGUUCCAAGUGGGAGAGAACACAGUUAGUUGGAGAUCUGGUCUUCAACAAGUUGUUGCUUUGUCUACGACAGAAGCAGAAUAUAUGGCACUGGCUGAAGCUGCGAAAGAAGCACUGUGGUUGAUGAGAAUCACCGAUGAGCUUGGAUUCCCACAAGAUGAAGCUGAAAUCUUCUCUGACUCUCAAAGCGCUAUCUGCUUAGCGAAGAACAACGUUCACCACGAACGGACCAAGCACAUCGACACUCGGUUUCACUUCAUCAGAGAUGAAAUCGAGGAAGGUACUCUAAAGGUCUCGAAGAUAAACACAAAAGAAAAUCCGGCUGAUAUACUCACUAAAUCAGUUCCGGUGAAGAAAUUUGAAGAUGGGUUGAGUAACUUGAAGGUGCUUAGGCACCACCAUUAGCUCGAAGGAGCUAAAGCUCCGGCACAGGGAUGUCGGAGAAUCUGACUGGAGGAGGUAAAUUCUCCGGUUGUUCUGUCUAAAGCAAUCAAGAUGGAGAUUGUCGUUUCAGGUGAUUGUCUUUAGACAGGUGGGCUGAGUUGAAAUGAAUGGGCCGGUCAAGGCCCAGUCGGAGUCUGCUAAGCAACUUAAGCCCAGGAACAAGAAACGGCAGAUGUGAGAGCGUUUUGGUGCUUUGAUGGUCACUGGUCGUACAGUGUUGUCGGGUAGCACCUGCAAGAACGGCGAAGGCUUAGCUUAUAAAAGGACAGUGUCAUCAAGCUUGGAGGAUAAGCCAUUCAGUCAUUAUUGAGAGAGAAAGUCUAGAGAGAGACUUGUGAGAAACAAGGGUUUGAGGGUUUUAUUCUUGAGUGUCUUCUUGUGUGUAACUCUUUGGUGUGGGUUUCUUUCUGUAAAGGGUGAGAGUGGUGUGACAUAGAGAGCUUGUACUGUUCGGUAGAAGAUAAGAGUGCCUUGAGAGCUGGUUGAUGCUCUCCGAGACGUACCUUGACUGAUUUGGUCUUGGGAACUCGUAAAUCUCGUGUCUUGUUUCUUUCUUGCAUAACAAACUACAGCAAACAAACAUAAAGGUUAGAGCUUUAUCACAAGAUCAGAAACACUUGGUGAAAGACUCAACAGAGAGAAUAAUCUGAUCGAGUUUGCUUGAAUCCAUAAUUCAAAAGAGCAUCCGCCAAUUUUGCAAACCAACACCGAGGAGAUUGUUUAAGUCCAUAAAUUGACUUACGAAGACGACAGACACGCUUGUCACCCGGUAUAGUAAAGCCAGGUGGGGGUCUCAUAUAAAUUUCUUCGUCAAGGUCACCGUGUAAGAAAGCAUUAUGAACAUCCAUUUGAUGAAUUUCAUAAUGUUUCUUAGCUGCAAUAUCCAAUAUUAAACGAACCGUUGUCAUCUUUACUACAGGGGCAAAAGUCUCCUUAUAAUCAAGGCCUUCUUCUUGAUGAUUGCCAAGUGCCACUAACCGAGCUUUGUAACGUUCUAGAGAUCCAUCAGAUUUAAGCUUGAUGCGGAAGACCCAAUGACUGCCAAUGAGUUUCCGGUUGGGUGGAAGAUCAACAAGAUCCCAUGUAUGGUUAUCUUCCAACGAUGUUACUUCGCUGCCCAUAGCCGCCUUCCAUUCCUCAUAAGUCAUUGCUUCUUUAAAUGAUCGAGGCUCAACAGGGGUGGUGAGAGCAACGAGGUAGCUGCAAUAUGCAGAAGAGAACUGAUCGCAAGCAACAUAAUUAGAGAGAGGAUGAUCAGUACCUGAGGAUAGCUGAGGAGUAGGUGAGUCGGAGGGAGAAGAAGGACGAGAUUUUGAGAUUGUUUCAACAACGUAAUCGUUAAGACGAACAGGAAGAGCCGUCGUACGUUGACUACGACGUAACUUUGGAACCUCAUUAACCAGAUCCGACGAACUCAAAGUGUCAUUAUGAGAUGUCGAAGCUACUGUUGGAGGCGCUGGCGUAAGAGACUCUGGAUGUAUAGCUUCAUCGUGAAGAGUAACCGAAGUCGGAGGUGAUAUAGGAGGAACCGGAGUGAUUGGUGUUUCAAGAUAUGGGAAAUUAUCUUCUUUGAAAAUCACGUCGCGAGAAACAAAGAAAAUUUUACGAUCUAAAUCAUGGAGACGCCAACCUUGUUUGCCGUAGGGAUAGCCAACAAACACGCAUCGACGACUCCGAGAUUUGAACUUAUCACCUUGAUGAUCAAGAUUAUGGGCAGGAGCCAAACAACCAAAGACACGCAACUGUUUAUAAGAGGGAACAUGACCAUAGAGUAUCUCAAACGGAGUUUUACCAUGAAGAACUUGUGUGGGAGUACGAUUAAUCAAGUAUGCUGCACUAAGGACACAUUCACCCCAAAAUUCAAUUGGAAGGUUUGAUUGAAAACGCAAGGCUCGAGCAACUUCUAGAAUAUGACGAUGCUUACGUUCGACACGACCGUUUUGUUGUGGUGUGUAAACGCACGAUGUUUGAUGAACAAUUCCUUUUUCUUGAAAAAAUCGAGUCAUACAAAGAAACUCCGUUCCAUUGUCACUUCGUAUAACUUUUACUUUCUUGGAGAAUUGCCGUUCAAUCAUUGCCAAGAAAUUCUGAAGAUUAAACGCAACAGAAGACUUGUUAGGGAGCAAAUAUAACCACACUGCUCGAGAGCAAUCAUCCACUAUGGUCAAGAAAUAACAAGAGCCACAAAAUGCAGGAGAACGGUACGGUCCCCAUAAGUCACAAUGAUUUAAAUCAAAAAUCUCUUUUGCGUUAUUCAAAGAAUCUGGAAAACAUUGACGAGUCUGUUUGGCUUGGAAGCAAAUUUCACAACUUUUAUCUAAAACUUCAGAACUAAUAGUAGAUAAAUCUUUAACACCAGGAAUCUUAUCGAGAACCCGAGAUGAAGGAUGACCCAAACGCAAAUGCCACAAAGAGACGUCCUUAUGAAUACUUGUCUGAUUAGAUGCCACAAUCUCAAUCUCGCGGAACCGGUACAGUCCUUCUCCCUCACGUCCACCUAUUCCAAUCAGCGUCCUGGUAAUUCGGUCCUGUAAAACCAACAAUCUAUCAGUCAUUUGGCCGACGAGAAAACUAUCAGUAAGCAACUGUCCAAGAGAUAUCAAGUUUGCAUUGAAUCCAGGAAUAAGAUAAACGUUUUUCAAACAUAAACGUGAUGUAAGAUGAAUUGUCCCCUGUUGAGAAGACAAAACGUUUUCUCCGGCAGGCAGUCUAACGGAUACAGGAGAGAUAGUGCGAAGAUCUUGAAAUAAAUCUGCACGUCCCGUCAUGUGAUGUGUAGCGCCUGUAUCCAAAAUUCAUAUAAGACCAUUGUUCUUACCACUUAGACGAUCAUUGGAGUUGCCUGUCCCAUAAACACGUUGAAUAGUGCUCCAUUGUUCAUCGGUGAAGCCAUGAAAGCCUUGACGAUCCGCAUCUGUCAGUGGCUUAUUAGGAGUGGUAGUGACAACAUUAGCGGAGACAAUUUCAGUGUUGUUAGCUCGUGGUUGAGAAUUUCGUCCACGUCCACGUCCAAAGCUUCGUGAAUCUGGCUUAGAGCGAGGACGAUCUUCCCACCAAUCGGGAUAGCCAACAACUUGAAAACACGCUGAUACUUCAUGGCCCGUGCGUCCACAACUAGUGCAAUAUCGUGAGGGGUCACGGUUUCCAGGUCCGAAGCGAGGAUUGAAUGAAUUGGAUGAAGAAGCGGCGAUUUUAGACGUAUCUCGGAUCAGUGGAGAGCUAGUGGAUCUUGAAACUUGAGUAGCAAAACUCAUUAGCUCAGCAUCUUUGGAUAUUCCAGAAUGAAUUGUUUCGUUUUGAACAAUUGUUUGGUAAACUGUGUCAAGAUCAGGUAGAGGAGCAAUUGCGCAUAUUUGAGAUCGAACAGUUCCAUGAACAGCUCCAAAGAACUUUCAAAACAUCAAGCUCUUUGUCUCGUGCAGUGUUGAGAUCACACGUGCACUUACCGCAGCUACAUCGCUUCGAAUUGGUAGACUCUGCAAUUCCAUCCCAUAAUCGUGUCAAACGGCCGAAGUAGUCAUCAAUAGAGGAGCCAUUCUGUUUGCAGGUAGCUAAGGCGUUGCGGAGCUGUUGCAGACGUGCACCACUUUUCACAGAGAAUCUUUUCUUGAUUAAUUCCCAGAGUUCACGAGCUACCUCGCGAGUGGAGAUGGAUGAACGAAUCUUUGGUUCAAUUGUAAGUUUAAUCCAGCCGACGAUGAGAUGAUUAUUAGCGAUCCAAUAUUCAAGGUUGUUUGCUCCAUCUGCCGGUCUAGCUAUGCUUCCAUCAAGGAAUCCGAAUUUCUUGCGAGAGCUAAGAGCAAUUCGGAUGUUAAGAGCCCAUUCAUCAUAAUUCAAACCAUUGAGUAAUGGUUGAGAGAUAACAGCACCCGGAUUAUCAUUGGAAGUCAGAUCAUAAGGAGAGAUUUUCUUGUAUUGAGAGUCCGUAGUUGCUAACGCCAUCGUAUUCAAGUGAGAUUAACAAGAGAGUUGCCGAGAGGCUUGAAAAGAGAGAUGCUCUGUUUUAUGGUUUGAAAAACAGAGAGAAAGAAGAGGAAUCUGUGCCGAAAGGCUUUGAUGUGAAUAAGGAAGAAGACUGGUGCCGAGAAGCUUUGAUGUGUUUGAAGAAUAGAGAGUAACGUUGAAGAGGCUGAGAGGCGUUCUUCGAGAGAGAUAAAAAAAUUAGGGUUUUUAGAUCGAUGUCUCUGAUACCAUGACAAAUAGAUAUGUGAAUUGUUUCUGUCUUAUUAACAUAACCAUAAGGUCUCUAUUUAUACAAGAAGAGUUUAGCUAAUAAAAGGAAAACUAACUAAAAGAUAAUUACACAACUUGGGGAUCAAGUUUAGCCUUAAUAGUUUCUCGCAUGCAUUGCAUCAAGAUCGCUUUCGCCAACAUAUACAUAUCGGACCAGAAUACAUCUAUUGGCAGUCUGGUUUCCGAGCAUAAGAGGAUUUGAUGAUAAAACGGUAUAAGGUAGGUAAACACCCUUUUUCUUUCAUCACAUGUAUUAUAGACAAAUUAAUUUCUGAAAUGCAUAACUGCUAUAUUGAUGUGUUUGGUUUGGUGUAUUAUUUCUGGACAUAUAUAGUGGACCUUAAUUUUGCAUCAUUAUGAUCUUAAUUAGUUCUGAUAAUAAUCUAGUGUGCCAAUUAGUAAGAAACAAUAGAUAUAAUUUAUUAUAAUCUUAAAAAUAAUAUCGUUUCAAAUAACUCCCCUUAAGAAUUCCCAAAUUUUUUGGGUCAGUCCCAAUUUGUUACGAUUAAAACCUGGCCUUGAUAAAAAAAACAAUUUGAAGAGAUAUUUAUUUGAUUAAAAAAAAGAAGAAAACUACUAAUGUAUAAUUUGAAACGGAUUGACCCGACCCGAACAAGGUAACAACAAAGUUCGACCCGACUUGGUUAGCCGGAAAGGAAAGGCAAAAUAGUUUUUGCCGAGAAGCCCUCUCGCCGCCGUUGAGUGAGGUUGGUGAGACUUGGGAAUUGCCUUCUGUACUUAUUGAGAGCUAUAAUAUAGCCGGCGGGGAAGGGACGGCAUCAUGUGGGAUUUUUCCGGAGAUUCCACGGGCUUGGGCAUCCGUCUUCUUUGUUUCUGUCGCGUUUUGACAAAAGGUAAAUUUGGCUUUUCCUUUUAGUUACAGGGGAAUAUAGAAGCUUGAGAUUGCCUUACUUUCGUUCGUAGUUGUCCUUUGUUUUGAUAAAUGUAUGUCAAUUAGGGAUGGGCAAUGUGUCCUGAGUAUAGUGGGGAGGAACAUGCAAUUUGUGCGGUUGGUCUAGCGAAAUGUAGACCUGGAGUUUUUGUUGAAGCUAUUCAAUAUCUUUUGGUGUUGGCAACUCCUGUUGAGGUGACUCUUUUCAAUGAUGCAAUCUGAUCACAACUUUCUUUAGUUUUGUGUACUGUAUGUGAUUUUCUUAGAAAACUUUACUUCUCAUCAGUUGGUUCUUGUUGGAGUGUGCUGCACUGAAGGACCUUAUGGUAGAGAUCCUUAUGCUGAAAUUUCAGUACAAUCUCUGCCUGACUAUACAAUAUCAUCAGAUGGAGUGACAAUGACAUGCGUUACAUGUACCAAUAAAGGACGCAUUUUCAUGGCUGGACGUGAUGGUCACAUUUAUGAGCUGCUAUAUACAACUGGCUCAGGCUGGAAUAAACGUUGUCGUAAAGUGUGCCUUACUGCAGGCGUAGGUAGUAUGAUCUCGAGGUACACACAUUCUCUAUGUCCUUUUCUUUUAUCUGUUCUCUCUGCUUUUUGAUUCUGGAAUCUGAGAUAAACCAAGCUUCCAGCAUUCCUUAUUAUAUCUCUAGCUCCUUAUGCUCGAAAGAAUUCCGCAAUAGCAUAUUCUUUCUGAUAGUUUUAAAAACACUUAUCCCCAAUUCUGUUGGUUUUAGGUUGGUUGUGCCAAAUGUAUUCAAGUUUGGAGCUGUAGAUCCUGUUGUAGAGAUGGUUGUUGAUAAUGAAAGGCAAAUUUUAUAUGCCCGCACUGAAGAGAUGAAACUUCAAGCAUAUGUUUUUGGGCCAAAUGGGGAAGGCUCUUAAGAAGGUGGCAGAAGAAAGGAAUCUAUUAAAUCAGAAGGAUGUGAGCCAAGGAAAUCGUCAGUCAGCAGUGGCAGGUCGAUCUAACAAGCCAUCCAUAGUCAGCAUUUCACCAUUGUCCAUGCUAGAAUCGAAAUGGUUGCACCUUGUUGCAGCAUUAUCAGAUGGCAGGAGGAUGUCUUUCCACUUCCUCAAGUGGAAGUGGUAGUACUAUUAGCUUCAGUGGGUUCAACAACCACCGCCAGACUCCAAACUGUCUGAAAGUGGUUUCAACUAGGCCAUCUCCUCCAUUGGGUGUAGGUGUUGGACUUGGUUUUGGGGCCCCAUCUAUAGCCGGUAGAACUCAGAAUGAAGACCUCUCUAUGAAAGUUGAAACAGCACACUAUUCUGUUGGAACUCUUGUCCUUUCAGAUUCAUCGCCACCUGCUAUGUCUUCUUUUCUUGUUGUUAGCAGAGAUUCAAGUGUGCACUCUCAGGUUGGCAGCAGUUCAGGGCCAAGUUCAAGGAGUUCUCGGGCUUUACGAGAAGUUUUGUCCUCCAUUCCUAUUGAAGGACGUAUGCUUUUUGUUGCAGAUGUGCUCCCCUCUCCUGAUACUGCUGCUACUGUCCAAUCAUUAUAUUCAGAACUAGAAUACUGUGGAAUCGAAGUCUCUGGAGAAUCUUAUGAAAAGGCAUGUGGAAAACUCUGGGCCAGAGGUGAUCUUUCGACCCAGCAUAUUUUGCCAAGGAGAAAGAUUGUUUGUUUUACCACCAUGGGUAUGAUGGAACUGGUUUUUAAUAGGCCUGUUGAUAUCUUGAGAAGACUUCUGGAAUCCAACUCUCCAAGGUCCCUUCUAGAAGAUUUUUUCACCCGCUUUGGAGCAGGCGAAGCAGCUGCCAUGUGAUGUUGGCUGCCCGGAUAAUAAAUUUUGAAGAUUUAAUUAGUAACAUUGUUGCCGAUAAAGCAGCUGAGGCUUGUUAACUGGUUUUCUAGAAGUAGCCAUAGAAUAAAGGAGAGCCACUAUUCCUCUCUAUUUGUAACCUAGCUGAUAUUCUGUAAAGUCGUAGGUUCUAUUCCUACUAAACCUACCUUAAAGUCGAUAAUGACUGUUUUAGGUCAUGCUGAGAAUUGUUGCACCAGUAUCCUAGUUUUAAAAUUGGGAAAUCAUAAGAUCAAACUGUUGAAUUAGAAAGAUUCAGUGCUAGUAUCGUCGACUCUCUAUGUAGGCUUUACAUUACUUGUUUGCUUCACUCUAUGCAGAUCUGUCUGGAAAUGCUCUACUUUGCCAACUAUUCUGGUGAUGCUGAUUCAAGCAUAAUAAGGGAAACAUGGGCUAGACUCUUUGACCAAGCUCUCUCACAAGGUGGGGUAGCUGAAACCUGUGCAGUUCUUAAGAGAGUCGGAUCUCAUAUAUACCUUGGCGAUGGAGUUGUUUUACCGCUUGAUGUUUUGUGCCUUCACCUCGAGAAAGCUGCACGUGUAAGCUCCUCCUUCUCGUUAAGUUGUUGAUUCAUUUCAUUGGGCUAUGAACUGAAUUUGAGUGCAUCUUGCGGAAAAUUUUACAGGAGAGAUCAGAGAGGACUGAAAAUGUUAGAGAUGAAGUCAUAGCUAAAGCUCUUCUAGCGGCUUGCAAAGGCGCAGCUGAACCUGUGCUCAACUCGUAUGACCGUUUAUUAUCCAAUGCAGCCGUUGUGCCACCCCCAAAUCCAAGAAUCCUCCUCAUUCAUUCUGUUAUAGUGGUGCUCCGUGAAUGGGCAAUGUCUGUAUUGUCAGAUAGAAUGGGCUCGAGUCCAACCAGGUCUUCUCUGAUACUAGGCGGGUCGUUUGUGCUAGAAAACAAAGCUGCUCUUAACCAAGGGGCCCGUGAUAAGAUUGCAAACGCUGGAAACAAGCAAGUUUGUCUCUGUCAUUUUGGUUCGAUUCGGUUUGGUUUUCUUGCCCACUCCUAAUUUUGAAGUAUAAUUUAAAAUCAAGAAUCUCUGAAAACACAAAGAUAUUUUGUCUUACGAACAGGUAUAUGACAGAGGUUAGGAGACUGGCUCGGCCACCGAACAAGACGGAGAAUGUAUACGCAGGUUUCAAAGAACUUGACGAGUCUCUCUCAAGUCCAUUCUCCUUCUGAUCUAUCACUCAUUUCUUCUUUUCUUUUUUGAUAUGCAUCCAAUUUCACUUGAUAGGGUUUAGCAGAUUUCUUUAGUCUACAAAGAGAAUCAAAGAUACGAAAAGAGAAAAAUAAUUAUGUAGUUCCUCUUAAAUUUGGGGCCUUGCUUGUUAAGUCUAUCUGUAUUCUGUAAUUUCUUCAUCUAGUGUUAUUGUUGGCUACUUGGCUAAAUACUUCUUGUGUUCUUUUAGUUCUUUAAAAUUAGUUUUUUUUUUUUUUUUUUUUUUUUUUUUUUUUUUUUUUUUUUGUAAACGAGUUCUUUAAAAUUAGUUAACUUAUUGUAUUUGCAUGCUAAAUUCUUACAAACUUGAAAAUGAUGUAUCAGAAGCCUUUUGAAGAAAAUAUUGGUUAAAAGUUGCACAAUUGCACAAUUGGGAGUUUUCUCUGAAAAUUUCGACUUUGACCGAUCGAGCUCCCGACGUUGGAUUCCAUUCCAAAUUUUCGUAGAACCAAAGUCGAAUUUUCUGGCAGUUUUUGUUUUCCCUUUUUUGGUUGAUCUUUGUCCUCCACUCGAGGAAAACAACAACACUAAAGAAAAAUUAGCAUCAAAAUUAAUAGGUAGGAUAGAUUAGUGUGUUUACGUCAAACUUAGAAAUUAAAUUCACGAGUAUGUAAAGUUUUGGUUGUGUCUACAUGUUAAUGUUAGUAAUCGAGAAUCUCCAUGGAAGGAGAGAGCGAAAGAGGAAGAAGAAGAUAAGAUAUUUCUGUUAUUACUUCCUCAAUCAUAAAAUGUGUACAUGAUUAAGCUUAUAUGCUAAAGAAGCUAAACCAAAUACAAUAACCAAAGUAAACCAAUUCUACUCAUAUUCUAAUAGUUAACUUUAUGAAGAUAUCUGCGUGUUGCAGAUAACAUUCUUUUUUUUCUUUUUUUUUGUUGUGGGAUGUGUGCGUGUUACAGUUUGAAUCGUCUAUCAGAAUUGCUUGCUAUUAAAAUCUAAAUGAAAUGUGUUUAGAUGAAUAAUGUAAUACAAUAGUAAAAUCUAAGAUAAUUCCAUCUAAAUACACAGCUCAAAAUUUGAGAUUAGUUGGUUUGACCGUGGUCCGGAUUUGGGACAUGUUCGGCUCAUUAAAGUUCAAAGAUUCUUCUUGUCUCCUCUUACAUUGAUUUCUUCACUAUCUUCAAGAAAUGGACUAUAUCAAAUUCAACGAAAAUUAAACUUCAAUAUCACCAUCUUUUCAAAAAAAUAACCUCUACAAAUAUAUGCAUUGAUGAUAAAUAAAAAAGAAAGGAAAAUAACUUUUUGUGUUUUAAAAAAUAAUAAUUAAAAAGCUAUUGCUAUUUAUGAAGUUGGAUUUAUCUUUUCUUAUAUAUGGACCAUUGUCGUUGUAGUUGUUUAUAGCUAUUUCUAUGAACAACAACUACACAAAAUAUAUUGGCAAUUGACAAACUCAAAUCAUUCCAGUUUAAAAUUAAAAUACUCAUAAUAUUUACUUUACAAUAUUCCUUGCAAGAACUCAACCUUAAACCUGAUCAGUUUUACAAUGAUACUAAAAAAAAGUUCUAAAGCAUAUCACUAUUACAAAAAAAUGAAAAACAAAAUUUAUGACAUGUGAAAUAAUUUCACAUAUUUAUUAUUAAAAUAGUUUCAAAAGUACUUCCAUCAAAUCAUAACAAAGUCAUCAUUUAGAAUAAAUCUGGCAAAUAAAUUCUCAACAUAUCAAGUACAACAUCUUAAUAUUUGUCGACAUUUAAGUAAGGCUUGUUCAGAUCGAUUUCACCAUUGAUGUAUUUGUGAAUAAAUUGGACAUUAAACCCUCUGUAACGUGUUGUAAAGUAUUGUAACCUUGUUUUAUUUUUUUGCCAAGGUUACUCUCCUAUUAGGUAGAGCUCUUUGUAAUACCUCAUCAUUUCAUUCUAUGAUAUUUACGUUCGUAGCAAAAAAAGAAUAAGUUGGACAUCCUUGCUUUCUUCUUGUUUCAUCAUUACAUCUGAUGUCUCUUCCUUGAUCAUUACAUCCUUGCUUUCUCUUCUUUUUUUUUUUUUUCAUUUCAAAUAAAUAUUUUUUUAGGGUGUUAAGAAAAAUGGAUUGAUUUUUUUAGUGGAUUGUUCCAUCUGUCUCUCGUUAAUAUGCUACGGAAAUAAGAAUCAGUUUUAUUUAAUCAUCAAACUCAUCUAUCCAGGGUGAUUUAUCCGGACAAACUCAUUUGGCAUUAUGAUAAAACGGGUGAAUACACAGUACGCUCUGGUUAUUGGUUUGCUACUCAUGAUCCGACGCAAGUAGUCUUAAGGCUGCCUCCUCCCCAUAGCUCUUUACCUUUGAAAAAAGCCAUAUGGAAAUUACCCAUUAUACCAAAAAUUAAACAUUUCCUCUGGCGUAUUUUAACACGAGCUAUAGGUACAAUGACCCGCUUAAACUCUAGAGGUAUGAAGUUAGAUCCAACAUGCCAACGGUGCGGACAAGCGGAAGAAACAAUCAACCAUUGCCUUUUUACAUGUCCUUUUGCCAUUUUAGCGUGGAGACUAUCACAUAUACCUGUACUACAAGCACAUUUACCCUCUGAGAAUGUUGAAGAAAAUUUAUCUUGUUUGAUGGAUUUGCAACGUACCAUAGGUAUCUCUAAAACAAAUAAAUUUUUACCUUUUUGGUUACUUUGGCAAAUUUGGAAAUCAAGGAACAAUUUAGUUUUCAACAAGGUUAGACUCAGCCCUUCAAAAGUAGCAUUACAAGCGACAACAGAUGUACGAGAAUGGCUUGAAGUUUUGGAAAAGCAGGCUCAUAGCGACUCCGAUAAGGUUACGUUCGCAAACAGAGUAUAUUCUUGGUCACGGCCACCGGAAACCUUCCAUAAAUGCAAUUUUGAUGCAAAGUUUGAUGUCAUUACCAAACAAAAAACUGCGGAUUGGAUUAUCCGAGAUCAUGCAGGUACAUCUACGGCUUGGGGUUCUUCACGACUAAAAAGCACGGGUUCACCACUAGAGGCAGAAGAUCAUGGAUUCGAGGUUUCACAAAGAUUAUUUUUGAGGGAGAUUGCAAGGUUUUAAUUGAUAAUAUUAAUGGUGUUUCACGGGACGCGUCUAUUGCAGGUAUUCUUCAGGAUCUCUGGUUUUGGGCUUCAAAGUUUAAAGAGAAACAUUUUAGCUAUGUUAAUCGUAAUUGUAAUCAAGUAGCUCAUAACCUUGCCCAAUUUGGAUGUAUCGCUGUAUGUUUUUAUUCUGAUAAUCAUGAUCCUCCUUCAUGGAUUGUGGAAACUCGGUAUAAUGACAUUUUAUAUUAAUAUAAUUUUACUUUGACGAAAAAAAAAAACACUUAUUUUGAAAAAAAUAAAAUAAUCCUUAAACUACAUAUAAUCAGAGAGUACAUUAUAUACCAAAGUUCAAUCUGAAAUUCGAUAAGAAAAUAAGAUUAGAAGUUGUGUCAUUUUAGAAUCAGGGAGACAUGGUGACUAGUGAUUUUACAUCUGUCGUACAUGUUUGGACAAAAUGGGAUGGUCCCUAAUAAUUUGACAACACAUACAAAUAAAUACAGAUGGUCCCUAAUCCCUUCAAUGUAAAUUAACCAUAUUUCUACGAACUCCAGUGUUAUGAUAAUUUCUUUUGGACAAGAAUGUACUAUUUCAUUGCUAUUUCUAUUAGCCAAAUCUCUCCUUAUUUUAUGCAUAAGAAAUUACUAAUGUAUGAACUAUGAAGUAGUUAUCAAAAAUAAUCAUUUCCCGGUAAUUUUUCGUGUUAACUCUCUAAUCACAAUUAAGCAGUUAUUAACAGUGACGCUAAUCAUCUCUCUGUCUCUAUCGUUGUCACUCUUUAACAACCAUAGACCUCAUUUCAAUCUCUCUCUUUCUCUCUGCAAACCUAAAAACAAAAAGUGUUCUCUUCUCUUUAGCGAUUUUUAAAGCCCUAGCAUUUGAUGAGCUAGGUUUCUUCUCAUUGGGUUUUAUGUGUAUGUAGUUGAUUUUUGUUGGUGUGUUGUUGUUGGAACUUAGAACUUUAGCAUUUCGUUCAAUUUGGAAUUUGGAAUUGUGGUGAGGAUUGAGAUCGGAAAAAAAUGGAGGAAAGAGGAUUUAUGUCACCUUCAUUGGCCAUAUCGGCGUCUUAUCGACAAGGAGGAAGCAAAGGCAUGUCACGAAGGAGGUCAAUGAGGCCAAGCCUUGACGCGGAUAACGAGUUCAUGAACGUUCUCCAUGGCUCAGAUCCCGUGAGAAUUGAGUUAAAUCGGCUGGAGAAUGAAGUCAGAGGUACGAAAAUGUGAUUUUGUUGAUCGAUUGACUUUGGAAUUUUGAUAUUGGUUUUGGAUUAGGACUUUUGUUUCAGAAACGUGCAUGCUUGUUUUUGAAACAUUGACUUGGUUAUACAGAUAAGGAUAGGGAAUUAUCUGAAGGACAAGCUGAAAUCAAAGCUUUGAGGUUGUCUGAACGACAAAGAGAGAAAGCUGUUGAAGAGGUUUAAUCCCUUAUACUCUAAGCUUACAUAAACAAAGUAUUGAACUUGAGUGGCAUUAUCAUAUUCCUAUUUAUAGAAGAUGGACUAGUCAUGUAGCUUGGUUAUAGACUUAUAGUAGUUGGAAUUAGUCUCUCUGGUUAGUCAUUUCAUCUAUGUUGUCUAUGAUCUUACUUCAGUUUGAUUUGGCUAGUGCAUAACCAUCCUACGAUUAUGCCAGCGCAUUUUAUUAUGUCAUAUAAAGUUUCUCUCUUUACACUCUCUGUGUACUGACUUCUCUGCUGUCUUAUCUGAGUGCUGAAGCUCACUGAAGAGUUGGGAAAGAUGGCGGAAAAACUCUAAACUGAUUGAAAAUCUUCUUGAGAGUAAAGUAUGCAAAUAUCUCCUUUGUUCUUUGAUUCCCUUUUUUCUAUAGAUUAUAUAUUAAAUGAUGUGUAUGUUGUCACAGAACCUUGAAAUCAAGAAGAUAAAUGAAGAAAAGAAGGCUUCCAUGGCAGCUCAGUUUGCUGCAGAAGCUUCUCUUCGUAGGGUUCAUGCUGCUCAAAAGGAUGAUGACAUGCCUCCAAUUUAGAGGCUGAACUGAAACUUGCGAGAGAUGAAGUAUUUUCCUUCCUUUGACCAGAAAUAUCUUUGUAUAGCUUGAUAUAACAACUUCUGGGACAUUUGAACAGCCUUCUCAUUUGGUAUUACAUGUUUUGAUUGGUAGAUUGCUAAACUUCAAGACGACAACAAAUCAUUGGACCACCUAACCAAAUCAAAGGAAGCAGCUUUGCUUGACGUUGAAAAGACAGUUCAGUCUGCAUUGGCAAAGGCUUCAAUGGUUGAUGACCUCCAGAAUAAGAACCAAGAAUUGAUGAAACAAAUUGAAAUUUGUCAGGUAUGUCUAUCAUUUCUUUUACACCAAAAUAGAUUAUUUCUUCCCUUUCUUACCAUGUGGUGGACUUAUUUGUUGAUGCAUUGCUUAAAAUAGGAAGAGAAUAAAAUUAUAGACAAGAUGCACAGACAGAAGGUUGCAGAAGUUGAAAAGCUUAUGCAGAGUGUGCGGGAGUUAGAAGAAGCUGUUCUUGCUGGUGGUGCAGCUGCAAAUGCAGUGAGAGAUUACCAGAGGAAAUUUCAAGAAAUGAAUGUAUAUUUCGUAUGCUUCUAUAGUGUGCUUCAGUAACUUACUGUUUUUCUUGUUAGUUAGUGUUUUGGUCUCGUACUGAUCGUAAUUGUGGUGUUUUGUCGUAUCCUUAGGAAGAGAGGAAAAAUCUUGAACGGGAAUUGGCCCGUGCGAAGGUAAAUGCAAAUAGAGUUGCUACUGUUGUAGCAAACGAAUGGAAAGAUACUAAUGACAAAGUGAUGCCUGUAAAGUCAUUGUUGAUGUAUAUAGUAUUUAAAUUUUCUUGCUACUUCAAGUUGUGAUUCAUAUUCACUGAGAUUAACUAAAACUAUUGCCAUUGCCGUUUUGUUUGGACAGGGAGAAAUGCAACAAUUACGCGACAAACUUGCCAUAGCUGACCUUCUUUUUUUAUAUGUCCUAACUUAGGAAUUGCUGCUUUUACUUAUUUUUGGAGAAAUUCUACUGCUGCUUAGAGUGUUAGAAGAGAGUUUAAAGGGGCCUACAAGCAGCAGCAGUAGAGGCACAUCCGUUGGUAGAAGUUCGAGCAACGGGCCUUCUCGAAGACAAGCCCUCGGUGGAGCUGAAACAAGUCCAAAAAUUACAUCAAAUGGCUCGUUGAUUAAGAGAACACCAAGUUCUCAGUUGAGAUCAUUAACUGCUAGUGCAAGCACUGUAUUGAAGCAUGCGAAAGGAACAUCAAGAUCAUUGAUGGGGACACCACUGUGUUUUAAAAAGCGCAAGGCGAGGCAAGGCGCUGGGGUGCUCAGUUUGAGCCUUGAGCCUAGGCGCUGGAGCCUCUGAGCCUUGGCCGUUUGAGGCGCAACUACAAAAUAAAACAGUAGGUUAGAUAUAUUCAUUGAUUCAUAAGCAUAUUUAGAACAAUUUGUGAGUCUGAAAAGAGAUUAAAAAAGAAAAUCCAAAAAGGAACAGCAACUGCAUGUUUCCUGACUGGAUCUGAUCCAGACAUGAUGAGAUGAUGAAGAAAAGAGAAUUGGGAGAAUAGAAAGUAUAGAGAAGAGACAAGAGCGUGGAGAAGAUGAAAGACAGAGGCUGGGAGAAUAUGAAAAGACAAAGGCUGGAGACGUGAGUUUAUCAAAAGUUUUUAGGUUUUUUCUCAUUUAAUUUACAUGCCAUAUUUUUGGAAACAUAAAAAGCAAGAGAAUAUCAAUGAUUUUGCAUUAUUACCUUUUUCUGUCUGAGGCGCAAAGCGAGUUGAGGCGCGCCUUGAGCCCAGGCGUCCCGGAGCGAGAGCCUAGAGGAGAUCGCCUAGCCUAACCAGUUUGAGGCGCUGACCCCUUAGCCUCACUGCGCCUUGAGCCUAGGCGAGGCCUAGGCGCGCUUUUUAAAACACAGGGACACCAGAUCACUGGAUAGAAGCAAAGUGCUAAUAAAUGGACCAAGAUCGAAUUUUUCUUUGAACCACCAAUCUUCUGAAGGAACUAGCAGAGGCGAGACGCCUAGCUCAAUAAAAGGGGAAGCAGAAGCAGAUGACAAGUCAACAAAUAAUGAUAGCGUCCCCAGUGUCUUGUACGAUUUGCUGCAGAAAGAGGUCAUAACAAUAAGAAAAGCUGCGCAUGAUAAAGAUCAGAGCCUGAGAGACAAGGACGAAGCUAUUGAGGUUUGCUAAUGCUUGGCCUUUUCUGUUCUUUGCAGUCUUUAAAUGAAAUGUUCUAUAGUAAAGUCUAAGAUUUGGUUUGUGUAUAUUUAGAUGUUGGCCAAGAAGGUUGAAACAUUAACAAAGGCGAUGGACGUUGAGGCAAAGAAGAUGCGAAGAGAAGUAGCUGUAAUGGGGAAAGAAGUUGCUGCAAUGCGUGUUGAUAAAGGACAACAAGAUAGUAAGACCAGACGUCUCUCGGCCUCAAAGGGAAACACUGCUCAACUUCUUUCUGGAAGGUAUCAUAAUAUAUCAACUACAAUAAGCUUUAUAUGGUAUUACCUUUAAAUGUCAUGAUUGUUUACGCAUUUUAUCUUUUGUAGAGUGUCUGGACGAAUUGGGAUGACGAGGAGCACGCAGUGACAAACUGAUUCGAUCAACGAUCUCUGUGGGUUGCCUUCAAUGGUUCUUGUGCCAAAUUGAGAGAAGGGAUUCAAAAGCCGAAAGAGAUAAUCUUGUAAAGAACCUGAUUGAUUCGAUGUGUGCUUCUUCUCUAAAGCAUUCCAACAUUCAAGGUAAAGGGAGACAUUGACUUCACUUGGCUGAUAUAUUUCUUAUUUUGUUGUGUUAUGUAUAGUAGUAGUAGAGGUAGGGUUUUGUUUUUUUAACUCUGUUGUUUUGUGUGUGUCACUCUCUCCUCUUAGUUAAUAUUCUUGUUAACCUAACCCGGUUUUACACAUUACUCAUUUUGAUAGCCUAAAUUUUUGUUUUUAACGAUCUGGUCAAACCCAAAAAAAUCUGAAAAAAAGAGAGUAGAGCACAUGAGGGGAAAACGGCCAAUUCCCCCCCUCCCCGAACCUAGUUGCUUUAUCGCAUUCAUACACAUAACUUUAAAGUGUGCCUACAACUACAUGAACUUUGCUAAAAUUUGAAUUUUCUACAAGAACAAUUUAAAUCCGGUCAAAACCAACAAAUCGAGAAACGGCGUUACUGUUCCGUUAACAUAUGAUGACUAGGAUGACACGUUUGCACUCUACAAUGCCACAUAGACCCAUAAAACGACGUCGUUUUAGUUAAAUUUUAAAAACAUAAAAAAUAUUACAAAACCCAGUUUUGAACCCGAGACCUCUAAUGCCCAUUUAAUGACCUUAAAACCAGACGAGCUAACGUGACAUUUUGACUAUCUCAAACAGAUAUAUGUAUAUAUAUACGAUUACUUGAAGUCUUCAACCAUGUCUAGUUUCAGUCUCAUCAAUACAACCCAAGACUCGAAUUCGAGCAUCAUCAUCAUCCUCCUUAAAUUAACCAAUCGAGCGAUUCACAUAUCUUAAUAGUAUUGGAGUCGGGUCUCCGACGAGUCAUCAUCACUGAACAAUCAUCGGAGUUGGGUUGGAUCAAGAAUUGAGAUUCCUUCGGUAGAUUAGAUCGAAUUUGAUUAAAUCAUGUAUCCAAUGGGAUCCUCAAUAGCUCAACAGGAUUUUGUUAAAGGAAAGUCAAAAUAAAAAUUGAGAUUCAAAUCGAAUUUAGUGAUGAAGAUCGUAGAAGAAGAAAGCCCAACAGUUUCCUUUUCUUAGUUUUUUUUUGCGUCGUAUAUAGAUAUAUAUAUAUACGUACUCGUUCGAAAUAUUGACAAAUGUUACGGUAGAUCAUUUGGUAUUAAAGUCAUCUCACGGGCAUAUGAGGUCUCUGGUUCUAUUCCAAGUUUUGUAAUAUUUGACAUUUUAUUUAUAUUUUUAAAAUUUAACUAAAACGACGUAGUUUUAUGGGUCUAUGUGGCAUUGUAGAGUGCAAACGUGUCAUCCUAAUCAUCAUAUGUUAACGGAAUAGUAACGCCGUUUCUCGAUUUGUUGGUUUUGACCGGAUUUAAAUUGUUCGUGUAGAAAAUUCAAAUUUUAGCUAAAUUCAUGUAGUUGUAGGCACACAUUAAAGUUCUGUGUAUGAAUGCGAUAAAACAACUAAGUCCAAGGGGAAUUGGCCGUUUUCCCAGCACAUGAGUAUAUAACAACAUAACCAUCAUUGAGAUUUGAGAAGGAUGUUUACAACAUUUGUAAUCAAACUUUAUCGAAAAAACAUUAGUAAUCAGUAAUCUUAAUGAUACAAUAAUUAGUAGUUCUGACUUUUGAGUAAAACCAGUGUUCUAAAAUACGCUAUACGCUAGGCGUACGGUGGAGCACCGUAUAACAUAUAGACGUAUAUACGGUCGUUUAUGCGGGACUAUACGGUGGAUUUUUUUAUUAAAUAAAUAAAUAAAUAUAAAUAUAAAUAUAUAUAUAUAUAUAUAUAUAUAUACUGUAAUAACAAUAAAACAUAAAUAUAGUAACAUGAUGAAUACUAUACAUGAAUACAGAAAAAUUUCAAAUUUUCAACUUUACAAAAUAUUUUUAAGAUUUUAAAUAACUAAUAAGCAUAAAGUAAUAGAAAAAAUGACAAUAAAGUUAUUUUAUAGUUAAUUAUUAUGAUUAAUUUUUUGAGAGCCAAACUAAUAAUUUUGUUAAAUCAUUUUUCAAACAUUAAUAAAAUUACAUAGUUUUUGUUUUUGAAUAUUUUUUUUUUAAAACGUUGUAUAUUCGUAUUUCACCGUAUAUACAGACCGUAUAGCUUUCACUGUAUUAAAUAAUUGUAUAGCUAUAAUACAGUACAGCUUUCCACAGUACAGCUUAUAUACGGCCGUAAAGACCGUCUUUUAGAAGAGGGAGUAAAACAAAGAAGUGAAGAACAUAACCACAUGAAUUGAACCGGCUCCGUAUCAUUUGACCGGUACGCGUUUCGCGACGUGUGAUUUGAUAUAUUUCACUUUCGGUCCAAAAGUAUUCUGUAUUUUCGUUAAGUUGUCCGACUUUUUUGGUUUGAAAUUGUUUUUCCCAUUACCGUUCUCUGCUCCAUUGGGUUCUUUCCUCUUUUCUCCCAGAUUCAUCAAUCUCUCCUACCGCCGCGAGAGAGUUAAAAACUCACCGGACGUUUCAAACCAUCAUCCGAUUAUUCGUUAGAUCUAGAUUUGAGCGUUGGUGAGAGAUUUCCUGGAUCUGUGAUACGUUCCAGGAAACAUGGCGACUAUGAAAAGUUUGAUAGGUCUGAUAAACAAAAUCCAGAGGGCUUGUACUGUCCUCGGAGAUCAUGGUGGUGAAGGAAUGUCGCUUUGGGAAGCUCUCCCAACCGUCGCUAUCGUUGGUGGCCAGGUUUGAUCUCUUUCUGUUGAAUAUACUAUUUGUAUUUUAAGAUCCGAUCUCACUUCUCGCCUUUUAAUCUCUACGUUUCUGAUUUAUCAUUUUGUUUGGUUGAUUCUGUGGAUCAGAGCUCCGGAAAAUCUUUAGUUCUAGAAAGUGUUGUGGGAAGAGAUUUUCUGCCUCGUGGAUCUGGUCAUUUUAAAUCUCUCGUUAAGCAAUUUUGUCUGGCGUCUCCUAUGUUUGGAAUUGAAUCUAGUUGUUCGGAAAUUUUCGUGUUCUGAGCUCUGUGAUCUUAAGAGCAUUACAUGACCAUUUUGACUACUUCGAAAAACCUAGCUCCCUAUUACCGUGCCUUGUGAAUAGUGUUUUAAUAAUGCCGAUUUCCUCCUUACUCUGUGUGUUGGUGGAUCAUAUUGUUCAUUUCUUAUACCGUCUCGAAGUGACCAUCCAAAUUUGAUACCAUGUGAUUUGAUUUAUCAUUAUCAUUAUCAGGUAUUGUUACAAGGAGGCCAUUGGUGUUGCAGCUUCAUAAGACUGAAGAAGGGAUAACGGAGGACGCUGAGUUUCUUCAUGCUCCGAAGAAGAGAUUUGCUGAUUUUGGUAGGUUGAUUUAAUCUUUCACGCUAAUUGCUGGAAACAAUGAAAUCCACAAAGGCAUGUCGGGCUAUUGAAGUGUUCUUCUCUUUUCAGCUGCUGUGCGGAAGGAAAUUGAGGAUGAAACUGAUCGUAUUACUGGGAAGUCAAAACAAAUCUCAAACAUUCCAAUUCAGCUGAGCAUAUAUUCUCCUAAUGGUUUGUGCUUACGACCAUAUUUCUUGUAAUGCAUUCCUAUUGUAGUUAGUUCAGAAACUAACACAGUAAAUUUUCUAUAUAUUGAUAACAGCUGUAAUGAGCUAAACAGUAGUAUGAUUAGAUUUGAAGAUUCCAAUUUUGCUAGCCUCUUUCAUGUGACUUUGAUUUCUCACUUUACUCUUUUCUCUACAGUUGUUAAUCUGACGCUCAUAGAUCUUCUGGGUUUGACCAAGGUUGCUGUAGGUAAGAGUUUAAUAUUUUUUAUCCAGUAGCUUGUGCUUAAACUAGUCACUGAUAUGAAUAUUAGUCUUGUAGAUGGACAACCGGAUAGUAUUGUCCAAGACAUUGAAUAUAUGGUCCGCUCUUAUGUUGAAAAGGUCAGUCUUGCUCUAAGCUAUUGCUGAGACGGUUUCGGCAAUAGUUUCAUCUAUUCCAACCAAGUUGGGCCGCAGAAUGCAUUUGAUCAUCAUCGAUAACUAUAAUGUCAACUCUGGAAGCUUAUCCAUGAAUUGUUCUAACUGCAGCCAAAUUGCAUCAUAUUGGCUAUUUCUCCAGCUAAUCAAGAUAUUGCCACCUCAGACGCUAUAAAACUUGCUAGAGAAGUUGAUCCUACAGGUACGACCUAAAUGUAGUUUCCUGUAAGUAGUGACUUUUUUACACUCCACAACAUUUUUUUUUAACCUUCUAAUAUGUUUCUGUAGGCAAAAGAACUUUUCGAGUUGCAACCAAGCUUGGUAUCAUGGAUAAAGGAACAGAUUGUCUAGAUGUAAGCGUCUUUCUUGAUUUCUGCAUCUUGGGGUGUCAACUAAUUCAGUUACUUGUUUAAUAUACUUUGACACCUCCUCUACCUAUUUGAUGAAGGUUCUUGAGGGAAGGUCGUACCGUUUGCAACAUCCCUGGGUUGGAAUUGUGAGUCGUUCACAAGCUGAUAUUAAUAAGAGGGUCGAUAUGAUUGCUGCACGUAGAAAAGAGCGAGAAUAUUUUCAAACAAGCCCUGAAUAUGGGCACUUAGCCAGUAGAAUGUGAUCAGAAAAUCUAGCAAAACUCUUGUCUCAGGUACCCUUUGGAUUUACUUGCACAGAUCUCAUUCAAAUUAAAGCUUGAAUGCUUAGCUUUGACUUUCUUCCUUCUUUGUUUUCCUCUCUAUUAGCACUUAGAGACUGUUAUCGGGCAGAAAAUACCCAGUAUUGUUGCUUUGAUCAACAAAAGCAUCGAUGAGAUAAAUGCAGAGCUGGAUAGGAUUGGGAGAUCCAUUGCAGUAGACUCAGGAGUAAGAAUUUAAACCAUUAUGUAAUUGGUAUUCAGAGUUGCGUCAGAAAUCGUAUGGUUAGUCACUCUCUAAUUAUGAUUCCAGGCCCAACUUUACUCAAUUUUGGAACUCUGCCGGGCAUUUGAUUGUGUCUUUAAGGAGCACUUGGAUGGAGGGUAAGUGAUUUAGUUAUUCUGCUUCUUAUUCGUAAAGCUCAUAAGUUGUUGUCGGUGUACUAUUACAUUGCGAUUGUGAUGAUCAAUUUGGAGUCUAUGAAAGUUUUUAAAAGAUAGUAUCGUUUCCAGAGUAAUGUGCUGCCCUAUAAUGAGUUUUGCUUACCUAUAAUGUGGUGGAGACCGGAUUUAUGGAGUUUUCGACCAUCAAUUACCAGCAGCCUUAAAUAAACUUCCCUUUGAUCGACAUCUCUCGACCAAAAAUGUUCAGAAGGUUGUUUCAGAAGCAGAUGGUUAUCAGCCGCAUCUUAUUGCUCCUGAACAAGGAUACAGAAGGCUCAUUGAUGGAUCCAUAAGCUAUUUCAAAGGAUCAGCUGAAGCCACUGUCGAUGCAGUAUGCUUCAAAAAUUUAUUAGAUUCCAUUACUUUUGAGACUUAAUUUUAUGUAAAUUGACUAUAUUCUUGAUUGCUGUUUGAUAUUUCCUAGGUGCAUUUCGUAUUGAAGGAGCUGGUCAGAAAGUCAAUUUCAGAAACAGAGGUAAGAACUGAGAAGAGGACUUUGGUUUUGAGAACUCCUCCUAGCUCUUUACGUUCUGUUUCAGUCCUAAAAUGUCAUUGCUGUUUUUUUCAGGAACUGAAGCGAUUCCUGACUCUAGCAAGCGAUAUAGCAGCUGCUGCAAAUGAAGCUCUUGAAAGAUUCAGAGACGAGAGCAGGAAAACGGUUCUGCGGCUGGUGGAUAUGGAAUCCAGCUACCUCAGGUUGAGUUCUUCAGGAUGAACCCGAGAAAGAGAAACCAAACCCAAGAAUUGCCUCACCACCAAACGCAGACCCCUACUCCGAUAACCACUUCAGAAAGAUCGGUAUGUGUCUCUCUCGCCUCCCUUUACUUAUGAAUGACACAUUAUCAAGUCUUUGUUUGUUGACUUUGGAUAUAACUCAGGAUCCAACGUGAGUGCAUACACAAACAUGGUCUGCGACACAUUGAGAAACUCUCUUCCUAAAGCUGUCGUUUACUGCCAAGUUAGAGAAGCUAAGAGAUCGCUGCUCAACUUCUUCUACGCUCAAGUUGGCAGGAAAGAGGUAAACUAUAUUAUUACCCUUUGGAUUAUUUUGUUGCUCGAGAGAAAAUGCCCAAAUGGAGAACAAUAUUUAUAAAAAUGAUGCAGAAGGAGAAGCUGGGUGUGAUGUUGGACGAAGACCCACAGCUGAUGGAACAAAGAGGAACAUUAGCUAAACGGCUCGAGCUUUACAAACAAGAUAGAGACGACAUCGAUGCUGUGGCUUGGAAGUAAGGGUUUGCUAAGAAGUAUUCUUUAUAUUGUUAAUUUCUUUGUUCGUGUGGGCACUGCAUUAUAAUAGAUAUGUUGGGAGUUUUAACUUCCAAUCCACACAAACACCCACACAAUUACUCAUGUUUUCUUCGGUCGCUAAUUUCUAUCACAACUUUCCCACUUUUUUUGGUGUAUCGAUUCUUGAAUACUGGUUUUAGAACAGUUAAGACAUAUUUUGAUGUCGCAUUCUUUUACAUUAGACAAAGAGGAUGCAAACUAAUGAACAUAUGGAAGAAAGUGACGUAUGUUUUUUAUUCAAUUGGUCUCAACUUGUGCCAUUAUUCAGAUCCAGUUCAAGCUGUAUGAAAAUAAAUAGACGACAAAUAAGAAGCAAAAUUUCUUGAAAAUCCAAUUUAUAUCUCUUCUUUAGAAAGUACAGACAGUUUAGUAAAAGUCAUCCAUAAUCACAAAAUCUGAUCCAUGGGUUCAAAAUGUUGUUUUUUUCCUCUGAAAAGGGAUAUGAAAAUCCGACAUUGAUGAGGUUCCUGGUGGCAACAAGAUCAAUGGACCCAGACAAGGCAGCAAAGAUGUUUGUAGAUUGGCAAAAAUGGAGAGCCUCCAUGGUUCCUCCAACUGGGAUCCCAGAAUUGGAAGUGAAGGAUGAAUUAGAAUUCAGAAAGAUCUGUCUUCAGGGUCCAACCAAAUCAGGACACCCUUUGAUGCUUGUCAUAACCUCUAAGCAUUUUCCUUCUAAGGAUCAAAAUAACCUCUCACUUGUUUUGGACUUUCACUUUCAUUGGAAAAUAUUCUGUUCGUUGAGUAGAUAAGUAUUUAGUUUGGGUACACCAAAUAGGUUUUUGUAAUCAUAGAACUGAUCAGCUUCUUACCUUUUUCUGGUUAUUGAGUAGUUUCAUUUGAAUCCAGGUGAUCCAGUAGACUUCAAAUGCAAGAAAGUUUCUUGAGUCUAUCCACAUUAUGUGUGUUUUUAGUUGAUUCUAGAGAUUAGUAUCUAUAAACUUAUCUUUUGUGUUUGGUGUUGCAGAGUUCGUUGUUUAUGUUCUAGACAAAACUAUUGCAAGGUGUUUUACACAUUAUUGAAACCAAAAACCCUUCAUUAUGCUGAUCUUCCUGUUGUUCCUCGAUUCUAUUACAAGUUUUUUUUGUUCAUAUGUUUCAGUGGCAUCAAAGGCAAAGAAGUAGGAGAUGAGAAGUUAGCUGGCGUUAUUGAUCUGGCAAACAUUACAUACAAGAACCUUGAUGCUCGUGGAUUGAUCACCGGCUUUCAAUUCUUACAAGUAAGCAUCUCUCUUCUUUCUGAAACAAUGUAGCUAUCACACAAGAAAAGAAGUCAUGUCUUUUAAGUUGGAAAAUGUUUCUCUAGUCUUACUACCCGGAACGCCUUGCAAAAUGCUACAUCUUGCAUAUGCCCGGAUUCUUCGUGGCCGUCUGGAAAUUCGUCUGCCGCUUUCUAGAGAAAGCAACUCAGGAAAAGGUUUGAUCCUUAAUCCUUCUCUUAAUGUAUCUAUCUAUCUCUAGUGGUUCUUAAGCAAUGAAGCACAUAAAUUAUGGUUUUGUUGUUGUAUAGAUUGUGAUAGUAACGGAUGAAGAAGAACAGAGAAAAUUCGAGGAGGAUAUCGGAGCAGAUGCUUUACCGGAAGAGUACGGUGGCCGAGCUAAGCUCAGUAGCUCACAGCAAUCCAAGAUGUUCUUCUUCCUCAGACUGCUCCAGUAACUCUAACAAACAAUGUCUGACUCUUUAACUUUUGGAAGCAUUAACCUGAAACCCCUAACCCCUGCUUUAAUCUACUUGACUAUUAUUACUUAAUUUUGUUACGUCUUUUAGAAGCAAUGCAAAACACACUGAGGAUGAGGAUGGAACAUGUUUGAUAUCUAUUCACGCAGGAAUCGACUAUCAGACGAGACUAACUUCUAGAAACUUAAUGUCCUCUUUUUGUCCAAAAGAAGAAAUCAAACACAUGAGAAAGCUGUGUUAAUGUACGCGAUCUGGUGAAUGAGCAGUUUCAAACAUCAUGCUGUUUCUGUUUCUUAAAUUAAAAAAUCCUGCUGUUUUGACUUUUGAAGAUGUUGGUAAAUUCACUAACACUUUAAAAGUCCCAAACUUUUUCUAUCAGCCGCCUCCAAAAUCUCUCUAUCUCUCCACUCCUUCUUCCUUACGGCGGCGACAAUGGCGACGUUCACUCAUCAAACCUCACAAACCCAUUUCCUCUCUCGCCUUCCUCUCAGAGCUAAACCCAGACACUUCUCCGCAAGAGUCAAAAUGUCUCUCCAAGAAUCUGCGCCUUCCCUCGCCGUCGUUGGAGUUACCGGAGCCGUUCGGACAAGAAUUCCUCUCCGUCUUAUCCGAUCGAGACUUCCCUUAUAGCUCCGUCAAGAUGCUUGCAUCGAAACGCUCCGCAGGGAAACGUCUAGCCUUCGAUGGCCGUGAAUACACGGUGGAGGAGCUCACGGCGGAGAGCUUCGACGGCGUAGACAAGGCUUUGUUCAGUGCUGGUGGAUCCAUAAGCAAGGAGUUUGGUCCUCUCGCGGCGGAGAAAGGAACCAUUGUUGUUGAUAAUAGCUCGGCAUUUAGAAUGGUGGAUGGAGUACCGCUUGUGAUUCCGGAAGUGAAUCCAGAAGCAAUGAAAGGGAUUAAAGUUGGAAUGGGCAAAGGGCUUUGAUUGCAAACCCUAAUUGCUCCACCAUUAUCUGUUUGAUGGCUGUUACUCCUCUUCAUCAUCACGCAAAGGUUCGAUUUUUAUUCUGAAAUCUUAGUCCAAAUUUGAAAGGGUAGUUAGAGAAUCAAUGGAAACAAUGAAAGAUUUAGACUUUUGUGCUUUGAAUAAUGUUUGAUUGGUUCUAAUAGGUGAAGAGAAUGGUGGUUAGUACAUAUCAAGCAGCUAGUGGUGCUGGUGCUGCAGCUAUGGAAGAGCUUGUCAGCAGACUCGCCAGGUUUUGUUUCAAUUUCAGCCUUGUUUGAUUGAAUUGUUUAAUGAUUGUGCUGAGUAGUGAUUAUGUUUCUUCUUCUUCUUAUUUUGCAUUGGUGUGUUUUCUUAGGUUUUAGAGGGUAAACCUCCGACUUGUAUCAUCUUUGGACAACAGGUGAUUGCUUAAUUUGCUUAUAGAUUGUAUUUCGAAUGUGCUGAUUAUGAAAUCCCUCUUUGAGUAAUGUGAUGGUUUUCAUGUUGUCCUGCAGUAUGCAUUUAACUUGUUUCGCAUAAUGCUCCUAUUCUUGACAACGGUUAUAACGAAGAGGAAAUGAAACUUGUGAAGGAGACAAGGAAGAUCUCGGUGAAUGGUUACUUAAGUGCUAUCGUUGUGUUCAUUUCACUGUGAUCUUAUGUCCAAAAUGUUGAGUCUGGUAAGAGGUCUCGCACCACUUUCUUGCUCUUCACAGAAUGACACUGAAGUAAAAGUAACAGCGACGUGUAUACGUGUCCCAGUUAUGCGUGCUCAUGCAGAAAGUGUAAAUCUCCAAUUUGAGAAUCCUCUCGUCUCGAUGAGGUAAUAUAAUACUCAUGAAACCUGUUUUGUAUAGAAUCUGUAUUUCAAGUUCUUGAAGCAUCGGUGUUCUGUAUUUACUAAUGGUUACAGUACAGUCUGUGAAUUCAGGCUGGACAUAUUCAUUUGCGGAGACCAAAUACGGAAAGGAGCCAAGAAUUGUCUCAUCUUUCUAUUUGACCAAUUUUGUUACUUUCUUUCUCCAUUCAUAAAGUAGUCUCUGAAAUCUGAACUCAUCCCCACCUCUUGGCAAUUUCCCGGUUCGAAUCUGUACCGACUUGGUUAACGGAAGAAGCAAUUAGGCAAGUGCUUUAAAAUAAGAACGGUCAACUGGGCUGACUUUGUUUCUGCGAUUAGGCAAUUUGGGCUGACUUUGAUUCUGCCAACUGGGCUAGAAGGACGCAUUAGUUUUCAUAUAAUAGUUACAGGCCCACCACAUACGAUUAUGGAGGGAAAAGAAUGUAUAAUUUAUUAGUUAUUGAUGUUCAUUUCCCUCCACUGUUUGAGAAAUUGAAAAUUUAGUAAUUAUUGAAAAUUUAGUUUGAUUUGACACAUGAUUAAUAAUAAAGAUUUUUAAUAAUACAAGGAAAAAAAAUAGAUAAGGUGAGAGAAGAAAGUACAACGGUCAGUCGAGAGUAUGGUUUCUGGUCAUUUAUUGGUAACUGUGUGUAUAUAUAUAUAUAUAUAUAUAUAUAUAUAUUUCGACUGGUAAAAAAAAAUAGUACGAUUUUAACAAAAAAAAAAAAAAAUAGCGUACGUAUGCGAAUUGUUGGUGAAGUUCAUUUGGUGCUUCCCUUAUUAAGCACAAUCUGUGGCCCUUUUUGUAAUUUUAUACGGUACUGUAUAUCCUCGGCAAUUAAUGUUUUUUUUUUUUUUGUAAAAUCUCUUUGCAAUUUAAUUUAGAAAACUACAGUAUAAUAAUAUCAAGACUCUUAAACGGAUAAAGCCAUAAUAAAUUCUCCAAAUAUUAGAUAAACUAAGUUUUUGUGGCUUUUUGGAACAUAACCAAAGUUGAUUAAAGUAUUAAACAUAAAAACGACCGACAUAUGGUUCCACCAAAAUAACGACAUCGACCAUACAAUCCCUAACGAAAAGGUCCAUUCUCCAGAAGGCGAAAAUAAGAAACAGAAUUAGGGCUUCGUCAAGAAACACAACAUCGAUCAUCAAAUCAAACGGGAGGGAUUAUCAAACGAAUCACACCGUUCUUGGCGAUGGUUUUGAUCCGACGGCUAGGGAUGCUGAUAAGAGUAUCAAGCAUAGCCACGUCGCCAGAAUAGAACCGACCACCUGAGUCGUGGCUAACGGCAGGAGCUUCACCAGUCACCAUCACUCUCCCGUUCGUAACGGAGAUGGUGAACCUGUCUUUGGGAACGCCUGGCAUGUCUACACGCACGUAUAGGCUGCCGUUUUGGAGCUUCUUCGACUCAUAGGCCAUCUCCGAUCCUUGAAGCACACAUGGGUGUGGCUUCAACACCCGACCCGUUAACGUCGGGUCUGCUCCACAUAUAUCACAACAAUUAAAAAUAUUCCCUACGUAUAGAGAUAUGUAACUAUAAUAAUUUAACUCUGUAAAAAAUGAAUAUAAUUAUAACAUAAGCUCGCGGUGAAGGAAAUAUAUGUGAAUACCAAAGGGGUCCGAGGCAUGCGGAAAUUUGUGAGGACCAUAGCUACGAAGAUCUGUGACCACAAAUAAGAGAAGACAAGCAUUUUAGGUAUGUUAUUUACAAAAAUUAGUGAAGUUAAAUCAAGAUACGAAAAUUAAGUUGGUGGGAAUGGCACAUCGAAUAAAAAAAAAGUAAUACAAACCAUCUCGGAAAUCUGGGCCACCAAGAAACGCUGUCAUAAACAAAUUCAAACGAAAUUUUAUCAGAAAAAAAGACACUUAUAAAUUAAAUGACUGAAUAAAUAAUUUUUUAGAAGAAAAAAAAUACAAAAAAGAAUUACAGAUGGAGGAAGAGCGAUUUGAAGUGCUCUGUCUCUUGAAGAGGAGAAGCCUGAGAACGCCGUCACACAUGUGGGAGGUGAAGUUGGAGAUUGAGCAGCAUUUGCAGACGAGCCCUGUAGCGGUGAGGUAGAUCCGAGGAGAGGAGUCGUGUUUGUGCUCCUUCGGUGCUUUGGCGGAGAUAGACACAGUUUUCCUCGUCGGAUCAAUCGUAACCCUCACGCCGUCGUCCGGAACGCCGGGAAGGUCAAUCCGAAUGAACAUCUCCUCGUUCUCAACCAUCUUGAACUCGGUGAAUCCUUUUGGCCCAUCUGCCAGAAACUGGUUGUUAAUCGCGUAAAACCCAUCUGCUCCAUCCAUCAACACCAAAACAGACAUAAAAAGAAAAAUCAGCGAGUCAUUGUGAGAAAUCUGACGAAACUAUAGUAAAGGGUUUCGCAAAAAAAAGAAAGAAAAAAAAAACUAUGGUAAGAGGGAAAAUGCGAAUGAGAUCUGAUUAUGGUUUCAAAGAUCUUACCGUCAGAUGUAAGGACAGGGACGACCAUGAUUCAACGACAAGAGAGCAAUUUUUUCUGAGUUUUUUGUUUAUCAAAAAAAAAAAUUACAGUUUUCUACAGCUAUUCUUUAGGGUCUGUGCUCAUUUAUACUCUUAGCAUUUAGGGUUUUUGGAAGAGAUGGGCAAAGAGGAGGGAAGCACUGAGUUGUCAUAUGAAAACGACAAAUAAUAAACGACAAAUUUGGGAUCUCUCUUACGUUUGCGAUUUGCUCAUGCACCAGUAUUAAACACGUGUCGUCCUCUCAUUUGUGAAUCAAUUUUUUCACUUUUACUUUUAUAUGGUGUUUUUUUCCGUUGUCUCCAUAUUUUAUGUAAGAUUUUACAAAUGAACGUAAUCUAUAUAAUAUGAUAAGUUAAAAAAAUGUGAGAUAAACCCAAAACAAAGUUAUAAAGAAACAGAUUCACCAAGAUAAAUUAAUGUUUUGAAAUAUUUCCCUUCCUUGUACGCCACAUUCAUUUUCUUACUUUAAUUUAUAGCACUCCCUUGUCAUAUGUGAUUUGAUUGUCUAAUCAUGAUGUAAUAUGUGAAACAGUCUGAAUUUUUUCUACAGUUUGUUAAUAGCUUUAAUAUAUGGUCAGUGUGGAAUCAACAACAAUAAGAAAUUGUCUACACUAAUUCUGACAAGAAAUCGUGCCUCUGGAAGAGAGACAAACAUCCUCAUGAAUAUCAAUACCGUUCGAACAAUAUUUUUACAUGUAAAUUUGGCUUUGAAUUCUUGACAACAACAUUUUAAAAGAAAAAAUUGAUGAGUCUUGUUGAGCCUCGUAUCAAGUUCAGCUAUUAUAUCAAGAUUUUUAAUUGAUCGAUUUCUCCUUUUUGAAACCUGCCUCUAUUUUUAACCUAGUGUUUUUCAACACUUUGAUCUUUGUUUCAAAGUUUCUGAAUUUCUUGUCAGAUUCUUCAAUUGUAUCUCCCAACUUUUGCCUCUAAUCAGUCAUCACAUUCGAUUUUUCCGCCUUAUAUCCGGUUCUUAGGUUCAGAUAUUUCUUAUCUCAUUUUGUUGUCAGAUGACAUGAUUUAAUAGACAAUUUCCUUGUGAUGCAGAAAAGAUCUCUCUAUCAUAUCUUUUCUUCUCUGUAUUAUUGAAAAUAUGUUUUAAUUUAGCUUAAAAAAAUAAAGACAUUUUUUCAGUUACGAUGUGUCAAAAACAGGUUUGGAAAGGCAAGUGGUCUCUUUUCACCACUUUAUCACAUUAGCAGCGACGAUCCAUAGCGAUGGAGUUCCAGAUCUGUGUUGUAAACUGUGUUGUUCUAUUGAUUAAUGAAUGAGAUUUCGAUACAUAUAUAUACAUGAUGAGGGGAGACAAAUCCCCAUUGGGCUAGUAAACCCUAAAGCCCAAAAGCCCACUAAGUACAAUAUAGGCCGUCAUAAGGAGAAUCUUCAAGAACAUGGGCAUGGGCCUUCUAGGACAUGGACAUGGGCCUUCUAGAAUAUGCAUAAGGUCCACGGUUAUGGAGUCCUUCCAACAUGUGGUUUAUAACACUCCCCCUUGGAUGACAUAACCGUGUAGAUGCCAAAGGAUCUCAGUAAUACGCUUGGGGAUGCUGCCUCAUUAAAACCUUACCAGGAAAACCCAUUGGGACAAAACCAUGGUUAAGGAAAAAGAGUACAGCACGUAUUACUCCCCCUGUUUUGGUCAUCCCUGCAAGUCCUUAAGUCUCCGCAUUCCAAUUUGAUGCGUGAGCUUCCUCAAUGUCGAUGUUGGUAAUGCCUUGGUAAAGAGAUCGGCUGAGUUGUCGCUGGAUCGAACUUGUACCACUCGAACUUCUCCAUCCCUUUGCAAGUCAUGCGUGAAGAAGAACUUUGUUAGAAUGUGCUUCGUCCGAUCUCCCUUGAUGUAGCCGUCCUUGAGCUGAGCGAUACAGGCUGUGUUGUCUCCUCAUAUGAUGGUCUUUGAUGUUGUAGUAGCUGCGCCUUGAAGAAGGCUGCCUACGUACCCUUGGAAGGGAUCAAGCCACACGUAGUUCCUAUCUAUUGACCAUGCCAUAAUCUGAUUUUACCUGCAUCAGCAAAACAAACUAAACCAAAGCAAACUAGACCUUCUUUGGUUAGAUCAGUAUAGAAUAAAACCCAAAUAAACAAACAUAGGAAGAAUAGAAUUUAAAAUUUAACCAAACCUUCCUUCAAACCUUUCUAGUGCCUUUGGGUUGAUCAUGAACUAAAUUUAGGCAAAGGAGGUUCACGGCAAAACAUAUGUCUGGUCUAGUGUGGCUAGCCAAGUACAUUAACGCUCCUAUGGCACUAAGGUAUGGCACUUCAGGAUCGAGAACUUCUUCCUCAUCCUUCUUUGGACCGAAUGGAUCCCUAUCCAAUCCGAGGCUUCUCACCACCAUUGGGCUGCUCAAUGGGUGGGCCUGGUCCAUAUUGAAUCUCUUGAGUACUUUUUCAGUAUAUGCCUUUUGAUGCACAAGGAUUCCAUUAUUCACGUACUCAAGUUGCAAUCCCAAACAGAAUUUUGUCUUGCCUAGGUCUUUCAUCUCGAAUUCUUUCUUUAGAUAUUUGACUGUUUGGGCGAUUUCCCCAGAGGUUCCAAGGAUGUUCAAAUCAUCCACAUAUACUGCUAUUAUCACAAACCCUUCGUUUGCAAAUUUCUUUAUGAAGAUACAUGGACUGAUGGGAUCAUUCUUAUAACCUUCUCUGACUAGGUACUCGCUUAAUCUAUUGUACCACAUGCGUCCACUUUGUUUCAGUCCAUAAAGCGAUUUGUUCAGCCUUAUGCAGUAUUGGUCUCGAGACCCUUUCUUAUCUUUAUCUUUGAGCUCAAUACCCUCUGGUAAUCUCAUAUAUAUCAUCCAGUGGACUUAUAUAAAUAUGCAGGCAUUACAUCCAUUAGCCGCAAAUCAAGUCUUUUUCUUUAUAUAGCCAGACUUAGCAAAAUUUAAAUGUCUUAGCAUCCACCACAGGGGAGUAUGUUUCUUCAUAAUCUAUCCCCGGUCUUUGUGAGAAUCCUUGUGCUACAAGCCGUGCCUUAUAUCUCACGAUUUCAUUAUUCUCAUUUCUCUUCUUCACAAAGACCCAUUUGUGUCCUACUGGUUUUUACAUCGAAUGGUGUCCUUAAGGUCGGACCAAACUCAUUCCUUUUCUUAAUGAUUCUUAGCUCCACGUUUUAUGGUCUUGUACCAUUUAAUCAAUCAAGUCUUUGAGUGCACUCUAGUAUAGACGUGGGCUCCUGAUCCUCAUUUAUCUUAUAUGUUCCAUUAUGUUCCAGACAUGCAAAAUCAUCUUAUGUCGACAUUUCUUAUAUGUUCCAUUAUGUUCCAUUGGCGUCCCAAGCUACAUUAUAUGGUACCUGUACCUUAGAGCCGGCCGGCCUUAUCUCCAUGUCUGGGAUGGUUUCCUUAGUAACCUCGGAUUCCUAUUGCACCUUUCUUUGAUUUUCGAGGAUUUUUAUCUUUGGAACCUAUUGGUCUACCACGUUUCUUUCGUGUGUUAGACUCGGUAGCAAUUUCAUUGAUUCGCUUUUGGAUAUCAAUACGUACUGGUGCAUUACAAGCUGGUAUGUACGUUUUUGUAACUUUCUUUGGGUCAGCAAAGGAAUCUGGCAAUUGAUUAGCUAGCUUUUCAAAUGUAUAAUCUUAUGGACCUCUGAUUCUCAUGCCAGAGUCCGAGGAUCUUGCCAAUUUAAGGAUGUUUGAUUUCAUUAUAUUUCUUUUAUUGCUUUACCCAGCUUGUUCGUCUCUCCACCUAUAGUAGGAAAUUCGGAUUCAUUCAAAUGACAAUCCGCGUAUCUAGCCUUAAAUAGAUCACCCGUAGUUGGCUCUAGAUACUUAAUAAUGGUGGGAGAAUCAAAUCCAACAUAUAUUCCCAUCCUCCUUUGAGGUCCCAUCUUUGUUCUAUGUAGUGGAGCAAUCGGUACAUAUAUGGCACACCCGAAAGUCUUUAGAUGGGAUAUGUCUGGCUCAUGACCCAUGAGUAAUUGGGAUGGUGAAUAUCUAUUUUCACUAGAUGGCCUUAUGCGUAUAAGCCCUGAUGCAUGUAAAACAGCGUGUCCCCAAGCGGCUACAGGAAGCUUCGACCUCAUGAGUAAUGGUCGAGCUAUCAAUUGAAUUCGUUUAAUGAAGGAUUCCGCUAAUCCAUUCUGUGUAUGUACAUGUGCUACGGGAUGUUCUACACUUACCCCCAUGGACAUACAGUAGUCAUUAAACGCUUGGGACGUGAAUUCACCGGCAUUGUCUAGACGUAUAGUCUUAAGCGGAAAAUCUGGAAAGUGGGCUCGCAGUCUUAUUAUCUGGGCCAAUAACCUAGCAAACACUUGGUUUCUAGUAGAUAGGAGACAAACAUGCGACCAUCUUGUCGAUGCAUCAAUGAGGACCAUACAUAUAUCUCCUUGUAUCCUUUCCAUAAAUUUUAAGGUCUCUUUAUUUACCUUAGCCGGUGAUGGCCUUAUAAUGAGUUUCCCUUGUGAACAUGCUUCACACGUGAGAUUCUUAGGGAUAACUCUUUUCUCUUUUAGGGUGUGCCCCUUUGAAUUUAUCAUAAGCUUACGCAUCAUACUAUGACCCGGAUGGCCAAGCCGGUCAUGCCAUAAAGUGAAUUUCUCGAUGAACUCUUUGUUCAUUGCCAUAUUAGCUUCGAUCAUAUCGAUUUUAGCAUAGUAGAGACCAGUGGAUAAUGCGGGUAUAGUCUCUUAGGACUUUCUUAUGUCCUUGGGUGAUCUCAAUUAUAUUUAGGAAUUCUUUGUUCCCUUCACCCUUUGUUUCAAUAUGGAAACCAUUCAAUCUUAUAUUUUUGAAACUUGACAAGCUCCUCUUCGAGCUGGGUGAAUAUAGGGCAUCGCUUAUUUCAAGAUGCGUGCCCUUUGAUAAAAGUAUAUGGGCUUGACCAUGGCCCUCAAUAAGACUAGCUAUACCCGCUAUGGUGCUAAUAUUGGCAUUUUUCAUUAUGAGAUUUAGGAAAAUAUCUCUUAUCUUUUGUGUGGCUCCACUAUCCACCACAAUUAUGUUCUUGUCCUCGGCCAUUUCUUAUAUGGACAAGAAUCAUGUUCUAAACAUAAAAUAAUAUAAAAUAAAUUCAAGCAAAUAACAAUCAAUGAACACAUAAAAUGCAAAGAAAAACAUAGAGGUUUUGAUGUCGAAGUAAGAUUUAUCAACUUGAUUCUUUUAUGCAAUCAGAAGUUUCAUACUCUAUUAGAUCAUCUUGAUCAUGUUCACCAUCUUUAUAUACCAAAUGGGCUUUAGGAUUCUUCCCUUUUACACUCUCUUGAUAGAGGUCACAACGAUGUUUGGAAGUCCUACAUAUCUUAGCCCAAUGGUUUCCAUUCCAUAUCUAUGGCAUACUCAUUUGGUCAAGUGUUGUGGUUUGGAAAUACCACAUCGUCCUCGCCCUCGACCACGGCCGGAAUUGGGUCUACAUCCACGGUUAAAGUGGUUCCCACGGCCGGAUGAGUUAUAGUGGCCACAACCACGUCCUUUCAAUACCACAUCUAUGGCAUACUCAUUUGGUCGAGUGUUGUGGUUUGGAAAUACCACAUCGUCCUCGCCCUCGACCACGGCCGGAAUUGGGUUUACAUCCACGGUUAUAGUGGUUCCCACGGCCGGAUGAGUUAUAGUGGCCACAACCACGUCCUUUCCAUCCACCACGGUCACGGCCGUGUGGUCUAUCACUUUAGACGUGGUUAGAUUCUUUGGAUUCUUUCUUAUCCUCUGCGGCCUUAUUGGCAUUAGGUAAUGGGGUUAAUCUAUGAGGUCGUAACUCACUGUUUUUAUCUGUAAGUCAUUAUUUUUAUUUUUUUUUUCAUCUAGCAAUAGACUCAUCCACGGACUUAUAGUCCUGGAUUAUGAGACUCUCAAUAAGAUGGUGGCUAAUAUUGUCUUGUAUCUAUCUUUCUCUCUUGGCAUUCUUGCCUUAUUAGAUACAUUCACCAAGUCCUUUUGACUUUAGGAUAAUCUUAGUAUCCAUUGCCCAUUUUAAAAUAAUUAUCUCCUAAGAGAUUUAGGGCAGUAAAGUACAAGUUGUAAUUCAACAUCUACAAGGAAAAGUUUUGAGUCAAAAUCAUGUAAUCGUUAGUGUCAUGCGGUAUUUGAGACCGAACCAUGAAUCGAUUUACUUAGGGAUUUGACUUUCCUCUUUUGCUUAGGAUUAGAUUUCCUCUUUUUAUUAGGAUUAACUUUUCCUUUUCCUUUUUAGGAUUUACUUUCCUCUUUACUUUAGGAUUAAUUUUCCUAUUUCUAAAUAUUUCCUAAUUUGAUUAGGGUUUUAGAGUUUUAAGAUUUUCUAUUUAAGAUUUUAGGGUUUUUAGGAUUUCCUAUUUUAUUUAGGAUUUAGGGUUGUUGAGAUUUCCUAUUAUUUAGGGUUUUGAUAUUUCCUAUUUUAUUUAGGGUUUUAGGAUUUUCUAUUAUCCCUAAGAUUUAGGAUUUUAAAGAUUUCCUAUUUUCUAGGGUUUCCUAUUUUAUUUAGGGUUUUAGGAUUAUCUAAGUUAUCUAGGGUUCAUGCAAUUUUAAUUUUAGGGUUUCUAACAACUUAUGCAUGUAAUCAAUCAAAGAAACAAUCAAAUUAAAAACGCCCUAAGCAAAUAAUUUGCGUAACCCAUGUAAUUUGCGUAACCUAUGUAAUUUGCGUAACCCAUGUAAUUUGCGAUUUUUAGGUUUAGAUAAUUAAAACUUCUCUAGCAACUUAGGCGAGUUUAGCUUAAGCGAUAAUCAAAUCAACUUUUUCUAGCAACCUAAACGAGUCAAACAAUCGGAUCUCACAAGCAAAGCAAUCACUUAAUCAAUCAUCAUUCGUUUUAGGGUUUCUCUUUGCUUAACUUUCAAAUUCAAUUGUUGGCUCUUUAGCUUUAGGGUUUUGAUGUUACCUUUCACCUUAUGGGGUUGUAUGGACUAGAACCGGGAGCUAAAGACCUCGGUAACUCACGCUGCUGCAACGAACCGCAAACAGUACCACGAUGAACAGUACCGCGAUGAACAGUGUCGCGAUGAACUGUGUCGGCGUGAACAGUAUCGGCGAUGAACAGUAUCGGCGAUGAACAGUGUCGGCGUGAACAGUAUCGGCGAUGAACAGUAUCGGCGGUGAACAGUAUCGGCGAUGAACAGUGUCGGCGAUGAACAGUGUCGGCGUGAACAGUACCGCGAUUUUUAGGGUUAGGGUUGUUAAGAGCAAACUCGUGCUGAUAACGUGUUGUAAACUGUGUUGUUCUAUUGAUUAAUGAAUGAGAUUUCGAUACAUAUAUAUACAUGAUGAGGGGAGACAAAUCCCCAUUGGGCUAGUAAACCCUAAAGCCCAAAAGCCCACUAAGUACAAUAUAGGCCGUCAUAAGGAGAAUCUUCAAGAACAUGGGCAUGGGCCUUCUAGGACAUGGACAUGGGCCUUCUAGAAUAUGCAUAAGGUCCACGGUUAUGGAGUCCUUCCAACAUGUGGUUUAUAACAAUCUGAUUAUUGUAUAGAUUUUCCUUAUAAUAUGUAGUUAGAAAGCAACAUAAUCAAUUGUGUUUAGAUAUCUCCAACUACGAUUUGUAUGCAUAGAACAUCAAAUUUUGGUUUGUUUAGAAAGAUCCAAGCUUGGUUAGUUUGUAUAUAUCAGGUUUUGAUUUCUUAAUUUUAUUCUAUAAUUUGCUAGAUUAUUUAGUUUUUCCAUGAUUGCCAACAUUUUAAGGAUUUUUCCUUGCCGUUUUUUCAGAAGAGAAUUCAAAACGAGAUAAAUUGAUUGUGAUAAAUUAUGAUUAAUUUCAGCAACUUUUUACUUUAAUUUAGACAAUAAACAUCAGCUGGGUGAAACAAUGUCGAGGUUGCUUGUGAUCAAUUCGAAAGCUUAUUAGGAUCUCUUGCCUCAAUCGGACAAAUCUUUUUGUUUUAUUCACUUCUCUUGAGGAACAACAUAAGCUAACUUCUCACACUGAAAUCUUUGUCCGAUUGAGGCAAGAGAUGGAUAAAAUGAGAUAAUUAAAAGAUAUUGUUCCUCUUUGCACUGUGAAAGAUUUUACCGUCUCAUCCAUCAAAGAAGACAACAAUAUCUUUUAAUUAUCUCAUUAUGCAAAUAUACUUAAUAUUUUUAUAAUUUUACUUCCCUCCCCGCCUAACCAUUAAUUGGACAAACAUCUCGUAUGUAUAAAAAUCCAUAAUGUUCCAUAAAUAUCCAAACCCAAAAUAAGAUAAAAGAGUACAGUACCCAUUGUUAAGCAUAAUAAUUUCCAUAAUAAACAUGAACUAAAUUGAAAGAUGGUGACAAAUAUUUUUGAUAAGAGAUCGUGGAUAAAUUCGAAAAGGGGGAUAGUUUUUGAACUGAGAAGGGGGUAGUUAAUUAAUAAGGUGGAUGACGCCAUAUGUUUAGCGAUUACUUUAAUCCAACGAUUGUCAUUGUUGAUGCACAAAUCACACAUGUACGAAAUGAGAAUCUCUAGGGAAGUAAGAAGAGACUAUUCUAUUAACGAGCCCGAAACUUGGGCAAAAUGAAUAGGUUUACAGGGAACGAUCUUGGCUGAAUAUUGAAUCAGAUGAGGUAGAAGUAAUGGUCUUGAAUCGGACGAGCUGAGAAGGUUGACGACGAUCUAGAUGCACUCUCUGCGUGUCAGCGGAAAAUCCGGGCUUCAUGACCAAACUUUCUAUUUUGGUAUUUAUAGGGUAUGACGCAGGGUAUACCCCUACGUAAAAUGAUGCUUUUACCCCUUCAAACCCAACAAAUAUGUUCCCUUCCUUCAAUGGGCUUUGCGAUUGUAAAUGGGCCUUUUCGCGCCGACCUCGCCUUGUUUAAUGGGCUUCCAUUUGUGCCGGGAAGAAUUUGGUGUGAGCCCAAAUUCAUCCCUUAACAGCCAUGCAGUCCGGAAGGGUCGAUGGCGAUCUUGCCUCUGUACUCACGUCCAACUACAUGGCCGGAGGAGCUCGGCCGAGGAAAGUGACGCCACCGUCAGUGUGAAGUGGUCGCUGGGGACGCCAGGCUGCCCGGACAUGUCAAUACGCAGAAAAGACCGUCGUUUGGGAGCUGCUUUGAUUCGUACGCAUUCGUGAGUCCCUCCAUCACAGACGGGUGCGGUAUUGUGACCCGCCGGAUCUGUCCAAAACGUAUCACAUAACAUCGAUCAUUAAUAUUAAUUAUAUCUUAUAUGCCUACGUUUUUAACUCUUUGUUCAGUAGUGUAAUUGAUAUCAUACACGCAUACGAGAGAAGAUCGCAUGCAUGAUUCGUGAAUAAUGUGAAGAUAUACAUACCAGUACUCCAUUAGUACUAUAAAAUAACAUCAAUUAAUAAGAUAUUGUAAAUUCUUGUCAUAAUGGAGAUUUUUGAAGUUUUGUUGUUUGUUUUUUUUCUGAGAUAUGGGAAAUUCAGGUGAAGACCACACAGAAUCCCUCUUGUGACACGUGUCAAUUUUUUAUUUGUAAAUGUUCUGUACAAUAGUACGAGUUAGGAUGCGUGUUCGAGUUCGAUUCUUAUUUAUUUUCCAUCAGUUUCAACGAGACAAUAGUUAUCAAAUCACAUCAUUUUGUUAACGAUACAAACUGGUAUUAGAGCAAAGAGGGUCGACUAAAUUGGGAGACCAAUAUGUGCAUUUCUAACGUCAGAAUCCCUGCAUAAGUCCCAUAAAGCCCCAACUAGAUUGUGUACUUUUUAUCAUUUAACACAUCUUAGUCUCUUAUGGCAGGACAGGAAUUCUUCUAUUCAGAUUUCAGGCCAAUAAUAUACAAGAUUCAAGAAAGCAACAAAUGAUCUCUCGACUCAGAGACGGCUGAGCAUAAGCAACACAGAGGAGACACCUGCAAGACCCAAAGAGACCAUCCUUAAUCUUGUAGGCAGUCUUGUCUAACUGAGCUAUCCACAUUGUAAAAGCAUUUUUUCCCUUGGUUCUGUCUAACUGCAUUCCAAGUCUUAGAAGAGGAAAAACCAUUGCAAGCAACAUUUUCCACAUACCAUUGAUAAGAAUCUUCCUCAAGUGGCUGCAAUGGCAGAGGCACGGUUGAAGAAAGGUAAAUAUGCAGAUUGAUUUAAAGCCUGAUCUGAUCUUGGUGAAGGUAAAAGCCAAGAUAAACCAUCAAUAGCCUUUGCGACGAGUGGGAUCCUUAGGUUUCUGGGACCUUUUCACAAGUAACUCUAUAAGCAGCCCUAGUGGAGUCCCAGAAGCUAGCUUUUUUUUUUUUUUUUUGAAAAUAAAAGCUAGCUUUUUAAGCAUUGCUUAUUGAUUUUGCAUUUGAUGAACUUCUCUGCUAUAGGCCUUAAACGUAAGACAACUCUCCAAUUCCACGUGUCAUUGUUGCUUUCGUGGAGAAACCAAAAAUUUGCAGCCGUGGAGAGAUUAUGGUGUUGCUUAUGGUCAGCCGUCUCUGAACAUUUGUUGCUUUCUUGUCCUUUUACUGUGGUGAUCUGGGAAUUGGCUCUGUCCAGGCUUCACUUAUCGCCCAGAACUGGCAUGAACUUAUUAUAGUCUGGACCAGGAGCAACAAAAACACUUGUCCUUAUAUACUAUAAUUUAAGGAAGAUAGUCGCGCAAAGCCAUUGUGUAUGCAGCUUGGAAGCAGAGAAACAACAUCUUACACAACCAGCAAUCUAUUCCUCCGCUUACUAUCUGAUAAAUGAAAUUCCGAAAUCUGACGGCACAUUUGAAUCUUUAUUUAAGAAAUUGGAGAAUAUAAGUGAAAUCUUUGACCAGCUGUUAUUAUCAAGGAGACAAAGACAUGAGCACAUUAUCAGACAAAAGUUUAUAAAAAUCAAAAAUAUGCCAUAAUAUGUUAAAAUAAGUCACGAUAAAGCAUCGCAAGUUUAAGUUACAAAAACAGAGGAUAUAAGAUAAAAGUGAAAGAAAAGAGAGCGCGGAUCACUUAGGGGGCUUUGCGCUAGAUCAUUGCACACUUAGUUCUUCUUCUUCUUGUGGAGGAAUCGCAUCUUUGAACUUGAUCGGAGCUGCUUAGCGAUGCUGAGUCUGUAAUAAACAUUUAACAUAAUGUCACCAUCCAUAUAUACACCUUAUAGCUACUCAUAUACACAUUAGAGAGGGAGAGAAAGAAUAAUCAAAAUAAAUGGUCACCUUGAUGGCAAAUGAGGCUUGGCGGGAGUACCGAAAUCGGACGACAACCUUUCCUGUUAUAUAACUUGGUGUAAUUUGGUGUCAAAUCUUGCUCCAACAAUCAUGAGAGGAAAAACUAAGAAAUUUCGUGAUUUUAGCACGAAGCAAAACGAAACAACAACGUACCUUUCAACCAACGCAUUGUUGGCCCAGUGAUAAAGGAAGUGUUAGUAGCAUUCCGCCACUCGGGUUGCGUUGGCCACCAGGAAUUUAACAUGGCCCCUAGAUUAGUCGGAUAUUCCUUCGAAUCGGUCUCUUGGAAUCUAGAUACAACUGGACAAGUUACGGUCAAUCGGAUCGAGCCCCAAGAUUGAUCGGUUUCUUCGGAGAUACCUGGUGUACCUUAAAAAAAAAAAAAAAAAAAAAACAACGAACCUUUCCUCACUCUUGUAUCCCGAGACAAUGAAAAACAUUGAAUUAGACACUCCUCACGAUUAGAAAAAGCCCAAUAAGUAAAGAAGCCCAAUAACUUAGUCGGUUUGCUGCGGCACACAUUAUGAUGGGGUAGAUAGAGGGAAUAGGAAAACAAUUGGUUUAUCUUUUGUUCAUUGUCCGGCGGCGAUAGAGAGGAAAGGUACGUUACGUUUCGUUUCGCUUUGCAUCGGAUCUCAUGUGAGAUCUACUCUUUUCAUAAAUGUUCAUAUUGUGGUUUGAUAGGUGAAAUUUAGGGUUCUGAGUCUAAUGAAUCUAAUCAAUCCUCCCUCUCUCUCUCUUAUCAGAAUUUAGAAUUUAGGGUUUGGUGAGAUUUUCCAAGAAUGUUCCUGGGAGAAGGCACUAAUGAUCGCGUCUACGGUCGUAAGGUAAUCGAAUUUUAUUGUGGAUGACCAGCGAUUUUCAUGUUUUGCAUUAAAUUUUUUUCUUCUUCUUCUUAGGGAUUCAUUAUUUUUCCUGAUCCACCGUACCCAUAUGAGCCGAAGCGUAUAGGAGCUCUUUACUAUGAAGGCGGCUAUCCAGAUGUCAACUUUGUACCACCGGUGGAGGAAUAUGAACCAUCCUUGCCCUCUUCACAAUCACCAACUGACAGCUGUCAUGAACAACCCGAUUCACCAACAUAUGAACCAAUGGCUCCGGGAGAAUUGCCGG